rnacentral:lncRNA from 1 species
UGCCACUGCCUUGCAGACCAAAUCAUCACCACAAGAGAGCUCGAUGUACGUACAAAUAAAUUCAAAAUUUCAUUACGUAGCGAUUUCUUGUUUAAUUACUAAUCAAUUUCAUACAUUCAUAUAGUUUAUUCGCAUGAGGGAUAACCUGACCACACACAAGGAAUUUAUCGCGGCGGUUCAAGAACAACUCAUGGGAUUCAUCAACGAAGAAAUCCUUGAUCCCAAGGUGAAUUCUACUACGACGGAAACACAAUUCACCGGUCCUUAGCUUCUGAGCUAGCAGCGAGUACUACUACGUCGAAAUCGUAGCUAGCUAGGACAUAUAAUGGAUUGUAAUUAAUACAUGACUACAUAUGUUUCUAUAUGCAUGUGUACACAUUUUCUAUAAUGUAAAUAUAUUUUGGUCAUAUAUAUAUCUAUAUACAUAUGCAUUUGCAUAACAUAUAUAUGUAUAAAUACAUAUAUAUUAUGCAUGUAUAUACAUAUAAUAUAAUAUAAUAUAUAUAUAUAUACAUAUAUAUAUGUAUGCAUAUAUAUGUAUUGAAACAUAUAUAUAUAUAUAUAUAUAUAUAUAUAUAUAUAUAUAUAUAAACCAUGCAGCAACAGGGCCAUGCAAAAAAAAAAAAAAGGUCAGAUCUAUCUUUAGUCCCGGUUGGUGUUACCAACCGGGACUAAAGAUAGAUCUUUACUCCCAGUUAUUUCACCCGGGACUAAAGAUAGCGAUCUUUAGUCCCGGAUUGGUACUCCCGGUUUGGAAACCAGGACUAAAGGGGGGUUACGAACCGGGACUACAAAGGGUUUCUCCACCAGUGGUGCGGACAGCCCAACCGCAUGGGAUAAUCCAUUUCCCGUGCGGUCAGGUUAAGUGGACCACACGGGAUAAUCGAUUAUCCCGUGCGGUCAAAUAAUACUAACCGCACGGGAAAAAAAAGGAACAAAAAAAAAUUGAAAAAAAAAAACCUAACCCUAGCCGGAUUAUCCCGUGUCGGCACCGCUCGUCGUCGUCGUCGUCGCGCCCGACGCCGCGAGAAACACGCUGCCGCCGCCCGAGCUCGCCACUCUGGCCGGAUCCGUGCCGGCACCACCCGGUCCUCGUCACGGCCGCCGCCGCCCGCCCGGGCUCACCGCUGCUGGAUCCAGGGCGGCGCCACCUCGUCAUCGUUGUUGCGCCCGCCGCCGCGCCUCGUCGUCGUCGUCGUCACGCCCGACACCCCGAGAACCACGCCGCCGCCGCCCGAGCUCGCCGCUCCGGCCGGAUCCGCGCCGGUGCCACCCGCCCGGGCUCGCCGCUCCUGGAUCCGGGCCGGCGCCGCCUCUUCGUCGUCGUCGCGCCCGAUGCCGCGAGAACCACGCCGCCGCUGCCCGAGCUCGCCGCUCCGGCCGGAUCCUCGCUGGCACCGCACGGUCGUUGUCGCGCCUGCCGCCGCCCGCCCAGGCUCGCCGCUCCUGGAUCCGGGGCGGUGCCGCCUCGUAGUACGUCGUCGUCGUCGUCGCGCCCGCCGCCGCGCCUCGUCGUCGGCGUCGCACCUCGUCGUUGUCGUUCGCUCGCGGAGCCGCCGCCGUGCGUCCGCCAGCAGCCGCCGCGCCGCCUGGGAGACGGUGGCAUAGAUGGCUUUGACUGUGUGGGCAGCGGCUGCUCGGAUAGUUUUGUUGGUGGUGUUCUUGACUGCGUUCUUUGGCUUGAUGGGUUUAUCCACUUAUCGAUCUUUGGACCACCGGCAGUUAGCGCUCACUUUUGAGAUUCUUUCUCAGCCAUUGGCCUCUUUGAGCUUGGUUAAUCGGUAGAGGGGAUGGCUGACCAUUUGUGAGAUUUCUUUUCCCUAUGCUGAUGGUAGAGGAGUGUUGGAAAUGAGGACUGCGAAUUCCUUCAGAAAACAUCAAGAAGACAUUUAAGCUAUCAUGACUUAACAAAUAAAUAAAAGGUUUGAAGUAAGAUUACUUAGCAUUGGAGUGUAUGACACAUCACAUGUAGAUUGUAAAGGGCCUUUCGCACCGCAAAAGCUAGCCAUUGAGGUGAGGGGCUCUCCCCCACUUAUAUCUUAGGUCCUUUGCCCUUCCACAACUAAUGUGAGACUAUUCAACAAUCUCCCCCUUCACACAUUGGUGUCCCUUAGCCCUUCACCGCCCCUUCACCGUGUAUAGACCCCACACUUAUAUCUUAGGUCCUUUGCCCUUCCACAACCAAUGUGGGACUAUUCAACAAUCUCCCCCUUCACACAUUGGUGUCCCUCAGCCCUUCACCGCCCCUUCACCGUGUAUAGACCCCACAGAACAGGUCCACGGUCCAUCAAGUAUACGAGCCCCGCAGGCACCCACGGUCCAUCAGAUCUUCACACACUGUGUUCAUCGGGUCAGAGAUGUUAACCUAGUCAGACUCUGAUACCAAUUGUAGUAUCGUAAAGGGGCUUUCACACUUCAAAAGCUAGCCAUUGAGGUGAGGGGCUCCCCCACUUAUAUCUUAGGUCAUUUGCACUUCCACAACCAAUGUGGGACUAUUCAACAAUUAGAUGUAAUUGGGCACUGAUGAUAACCUUGUGGCGGAAUAAUUUUUUCAUCCGUCUAUAAGGAGCCCCUUUCUCAUUUUUGUUGGGUGUCUCCCAAGUGGGAUUAGGUUCUCCCUUGUGUUCACAUGCUAGGUGGACACGAUCUUUCAAACCCUGGGUCUGACGGAGUGUCACAUCCUGGUUUUCGUUUCAGGAUUUAUAAAUUAUAUAAUAAAUUAUUAUUAGAAUUUAUAUUAAAUGUUCAUUAAUUUACUAGUGAUGUGGGAAAUCAAAAUUUCUAAAUAUAAAGCAUGGAUGGAUUUAAUUUUUAUUAAAUUCUCCAUGGUUAAUUAUACUAUGUGGAAUUUUCUUUGAUUUUUUGAAGCUCAAUUCUUAAUUUUAAUCAUACAAAGAACAUUUCAGUAAUUAUUCACAUAUUAAAUUAAUCAUUAAAUGGUCUGACUAUAAUCUUGUUAAGUACUUUGGUUGUCCAAGUAUUUUCAGGAUUUUUGUUGAAAUUAUCUGAGCAUUGAAAGUAUUUUUAACAAUUCAAACAUCAUUUCAGUGUUUAAUUUAUUUGGAAAAGUAAUUAAAAUCCCCUUUUCCUUUUCGGGCUGAAACUCGAAAAGUUCACCUUUAGUCCUCGGCCCAUUCUCCCUUCCUUUCAGCUGGCUUUAUUCCUCCUCUGAAGUCCAUUUCCUGUCCCUCCUUCAAUCGGGCUGGAGAAAAAGAACCCCAGUCAAAGUCUAAUUCGCCUACCUGCUACAGUGUGGUCUUCAAGCUUGGACAGAGCCCGUGCAGCCGCCGAGCCGUGUGUGACGCUGCCGUUUCCUCCGCCCGAUUCGCUCAAUUCUCUCGACUGUUUCUAAAAUUAGUUGAGGGGAUUUGUUUCCCUUAUCCUCCUCUAACUCUUCCCCCAAAAAUCCUAUUUUAUCCCUUUGAAUUCGGCGCGAAUUUGGAUUCGUUUUUGAGUUUAUCUCUCCACCAAACCCUAGGUUUUCCCGGCGCGAUUCCCUGCGUUCCACGCCCGAUCUCUCUCCCGUGGCUAUAAAUAGAGUCCCCUCCCUCUCCUCUUUUGUUUGCCACCCUCGCCCGAGCUCGCCGUCGGCCGUAGCGCCCUAGCCGCGUCUGUCCUAGCGCCGUCGUAGCCGCCGAGUUUCAAGCCGCGCCGCCUUUGCAGCCGCCUUCUCCGGUCGCCGUCGCCACCAUCGGGUUCGCGAGAAGGAGCUGCACACCGUCCACCACUUGGCCGAAGCCGAAGCCCGCCGGAGCGCUGCCGACGCCGUCAAGCCGAUCUGCUUCGCCUCCAUCCGCGCCGUGCCGUCGCCUCGGUCGUCCCCGACCUGUGCCGCCACCUCCCUCGGCAUCGCAGCACCGAGGAGAAGCCCGUCCACCCCUUCGUUGCCGCUGCUCGUCGCCGGAAAGCCGCCGUCCUCGUCGUCCCGACUUCGCCGCCGUUCGGAGCUCGUCGUAGGUCGUCCUUCGUCGUCGUGCCGCCCCUUGGUGAGUUCGUCUCGUCGUCCUCUUCGCGUAGAUGCCCUCGGUUGGUCCGGCCGAGUCCUCUAGCGCCGGCGACAGUGUGGUCCCGUGCCUUGUUCCGGCGAUGACGUCAUCAAUGAUGUCAUAAAGCCCUUUUCUUUUCUAAAAUAAAUCAUUAAUCCUUUUUUUAUAAGGCUAAAAUCAGUUUAAUCUUGUAAAAUUCGUAACUAAUUCAUAUGAACUCGGAAUGAGGCCGUUCAAGUCUCUAAAUUCAUCUAAAAUCAUGAUCUACAUGUUUUUUUUUUACUUUUUAUGUAUUGUUCAUUUGGUUUUUAUUAGUCCUUUUUAUUCGUUUUGCGUGUUAGCUUGUCGUUUCUGUCGUUGCGAAGGUCCGUGAGUGCGUCAGAAGUGGUUUAGAAGACUAUUUGAAGACCGAUUGUUGCAAGGCAAGUCACACAGAUCCCAAACACAAUCCUUUGAGCAUGUUGAUCCUAUAUUUAAAUUCUCUAUUUAUUUCAACUGUGCAUUUAUUUUCGAAUGUCACCGGGUGGUGUGAACCUAUUCAUUUGUUAUGGCCAAUUUGCAUUGAAUACCAUAUUCCUUGAUUCCUUGGGUAACAAAUUGAUUAGCUUGAACCUUAUAUAUUGGUUUGGUUCAGCUAAAAGCUAUAUAUAUGUAAUUGCUUAGCCAUGCUUAGAAACAUUAGCUCAUUAAUGGAAUGGAUCAUACUACAUUAUUAUUUAUGGUUAUAUUUAAUGGUAGCUCACGAUGGUUAAUCGUGUUAUGAUAAUUAAUUGAUAAUUAAAACUUGACAAUGGUGGGUUGUGAGCACAUGGUUUUGAAGGUCGUGCUCAUGACAAUUAAGGACCAGUUCGCGAGCUACUGUUAUGAGACAUUAACCGUGCCAACCACAAGCCAGCGUGGGCAACGACUUUACCUUUUGUAUAGCAUAGUUCAUUAUGGGGUGCCAGACUGAGAAGUGGCGAGAAAUCCGUGGGGGUCGCUGGGGAGUCCAUGCCUCGGUGAUUAUAAUCCAGGUAUGAUGCACUGUGGUGAGUUGUGUUGUGCGAGGGGUAUUGCCACAGUUCCUUUCCGAGGUAUCAUGGUGGUAUUGAGGUGCAUGGUAACAUGUUGUGGUGCUGUGUCUUGUGGGUACAGUGGUACACCUCUAGCCAGAGUAAAACUAUUCGAAUAGCCGUGCCCGCGGUCAUGAGCGGGUUGAGCAAUGUUUUUCGUGAUUAGUCUCACACCUAUCACAAUAAUUAUUGAUGCUAUAACUAGUAAUAAUUUGUUUAGCUCCUGGUUUGGAGUUAGAUCUGUACAACCGGGUAUGGUUGUACAGGAUGGUUGGGCCUGUGCAGUGUUGAUUAAAAUUGAUAAUUAAUAACUCUACUGUUUUACUACUCUUAAAUGUUUGCUAAAUGCUACUUUUGCAAAUGAGCCUAUAUUAUUCCAUCCUUUGGUAUCCUUGUACACUUACAUAUUAGCUGUGUGGCUUGUUGAGUAUGUCAUAUGCUCACUUUGAAAUAAUCAAUCAACCUCAGUUGAAGAAAAUGAUCCAGAAGGAGAAGACGUUUGGCUUAUACCCCAGUUGAGCUGCCUGUGGGAGUGGAGCUUAAGCCAUCGUUAGACCGUUAAUUCCGCUGCUGUUUUUCUAUUCUUUUGUAAGUAUGUAACGAUGUUAUUAUAAUGGAUUUGUAUAUAAAAUCCUCGGCUGAUUCCUGGACGAGGAUUUUAUGCACAAAUAAGUUCGUAAAUUACUAGUGAAUUUCUAGGCGUGACACGGAGGACGAUGAUGCAGGCGAUAUGAACACAUGUUAGACCAUUCUUUUCAGAUCAACCAUCAUAGAGAAAAGUUUAUUGACCUGGAUCAUCUCGUCAAUAGAAAUUGAGAAGGUCCAGGAUUCCUAUACUCGGGGACGGUGCCCAAAUAUAGAAGGGAGAGAAACGCCAUUGUGAUGUUUGAUAAUUUUCAAAUUUAAAGGCAUGGUCUGUAACGUCCCGCUUCUCCCAGGCUGAGCCCGGUUACAUCUGGCAGCUUUCAUAGGUCAUAGAUUGCCCUCACAAACCAACACAAGCCUUUCGGUCACCCAUCCCGAAAUUGCUUCAGGCUAAGCACGCUUAACCUCAGAGUUCUUUCGAGAUCGGCUUUGAUAUGAGUAUUCUAGUAAUUCUAUUAAGCCCUAGGCCGAGAAGUCACAUCCUCACCCCCUUAAGACACCGCCGGGAAGUCACAUCCUCACCCCCUUAAGACAUCGACGACCUCGUCGGUCACCCCGGGCCAGGAACGUCCCCUUUUGGCCACGUCCGUGUGUCCAGUGCCAGCUCAUGUGCCAUGCUGUGUGACCAUCCUGGUCCACACCAGCCAUGCGCACCAUGCCUGCGUAACUACGACACACGCGCCCGUGAAACCGCAAGAGUCGGCUCUGAUACCACUUUGUAACGUCCCACCUCUCCCAGGCUGGGCCCGCGUAACUGCGACACACGCGCCCGUGAAACCACGAGAGUCGGCUCUGGUACCACUUUGUAACGUCCCGCCUCUCCCCGCUUACAUCUGACAGCUUUCAUAGGUCAUAGACUGCUCUCACAGACCAACACAACCCUUUUCUGCACACUUUGUCCUCACUCGUACGCACCCGUAAAGAAUUUCCCGGUGGGUCACCUAUCCCGAAAUUGCUCCAGGUUAAGCAUGAAAUUGCUCCAGGCCAAGCAUGCUUAACCUCGGAGUUCUUUUGAGAUCGGCUUUAGGAAAAGAAGUUGCAACUUGUUGAUAUGAGUAUUCUAGUAAUCCUAUUAAGCUCUAGGCCGGGAUGUCACAUGGUCGUGGAAAUAUCAACUUAUAGUUUUAAAAUAUUAAGAAUUAUUGCCUUAAUAAAAUUCAGCAAUGCUUAUUAGUUUCAUUUGAUGGCCAUCACACUGUCGAUACAUAUUGAUUUCAUUUGUUUUCACCUAAAGUCACAAAAUAUAGCUGCUGCUCUGCCUUGAGAGUGAAUAGGUAGGCAUUUCGUUUUUUACUGGUAUCGUUGAUGACCGCCGUGAUACAAUCGGUCCAUGGUUUGAUGCUAGCAAGGGGCUAUUUUCAUUUAUGUUCUUCCUCCUAAUGACAUUUCGUUCUUACAUCUAGGACAGUGAGAAAAAUCUAGCUAGUUCUAUAGGCAAAUUGUUGUCAAUACGUGUUAGCUGAACUGUUAUGAGAAACAAUGUCUUCUCAGUCACGAUUUCGUUUUCUUUUGUGAUUUUAUUUUCUAACGUGUUUUUUAACUCCUCGGCAAAAUAAACGCAAGCUAAUCUUUCAGAUUUUUCUCCAAAGUGGUCAUAAAAUCGAUGACGUUCUUAAAGGCUAUAAUAAGAUUUUUGUCACAGAAAGUCUAAACUAUUGUAGUAUUAGACAUGUCGUCGUAAAGGCACUUUACUACAUAUCUCAUUUAAACAUAAUACCUCUGUAAGGAUAAAUCCUAGUACAUUGUUGAAAUUAAUUAUGAUCACCGUCUACUAUGGUUGUAUUUACAACUUUACAAUGUGUCCCUACAUUCGGUUCUAAGCUACUAUGGCUACACGACGUGAACGGAGUGUGUUAAGCAGGUCAAUCUUUUCAUUUCGAUCAGAACAGAGUCAAAACGCAUUUGGCAAAUAGUAUAUACCCUAUAACGUAAUCCUACACCAUAUAAAACAUGCCCAACCUAUAGCGGUUAUAAAUCCACUAUUCAAAAUGUAAGUAUCGAUGGGACCAUUUGCCAUAUCAUUGUUAAUUCAAUCUUACCUUGUCACCGAAACAAGACGCUCCGCGUAACAUGAAGUUAAAUUUUCAUAUUUGAAGGCCUGGUCGCGGAAAUAUCAAUUUAUAAGUUAAAAACAUUAAGCAUUGCUGCCUAAAUAAAAUUCAUAUAUGCUUAAUAGUCCACAUUAAUGCCCAUGCAUAUCGGUUUCAUCUGUUUUCACCUAAAGUCACAAAAUAUAGCCGCUGCUCUAUCCUGAGAGUGAAUAGGUAGGCAUUUCGUUCUUUGCUGGUAUCGUUGAUGACCGCCGUGAUACAAUCGAUCCAUGGUUUGAUGCUAGCAAGGGGCUAUUUUCAUUUAUGUUCUGCCUCCUAAAUGUCCUUUCGUUCUUCCAUCUAGGACCGUGAGAAAAAUCUAGCUAGUUUUAUAGGCAAAUCGUUGUCAAUACGUGUUAGCUGAGCUGUUAUGAGAAAUAAUGUCUCCUCUGUCACGAUUUCGUUUCCUUUCGUGAUUUUUUCUCUCUAACGUGUUUUUUAACUCCUUGGCAAAAUAAACGCAAGCUAAUCUUUCAGAUUUUUUUCCAAAGUGGUCAUAAAAUCGAUGACGUUCUUAAAGGCUAUGAUAAGAUUUUUAACACGGAAUGUCUAAACCGUUGUAGUAUUAGACAUGUCGUCGUAAGGGCACUUUACUACAUAUCUCAUUUGAACGUAAGCAGUUAUUGAUAACUAAUAUAUUUUUCAUAACUCACUUUACACAUACAAAUAUCUGUCUGGAUAUAUCAUGAAAGUUCCACGCGCCCUUGACAUGUAAAGUGCAUUUGUAAAACAAUAGCUUACAAUACAUAACAAACUUAGUUUGAAAAUGACAGCAAUCCAUGUGUCACACCCUGAAGUUUCCCCCCUUUUUCUUGCUUUAAAAAUUGGUUAAAUAAAUUGCCCGAAGAAAUUAUCUUAAUUAACCUAGAGCUAAAUCCCUAGUUAAUAAAUGCAAUUAAUAAUCGGAAAUAGCGUGGUGGAAUUUUUCUUGAGUUCCCCAUGCUACAAUGCAUUAACAAGAUUUUUAGUGGAAUUUUCAGAGCCUUGGAAAUAAUUUUAACCAAUUAAAAAUGAGCAAGCGCAAUAUUUUUAAAAUCCCAGGAAAAAUCCUUUCUUCUUUUUCUUUUUUCUUUUCCUUCUUUUUCCUCUUUUGGGCCAUCGGCCCACUCCCUCCCGCGCUCGGCCUCCUUCCUUUGGGCCGGCCCAUUCCCCUUUCCCCUCCCCGAAGUCCUCCCUCCCUCCCCUCUCUCCGGGACGCUGACAGGUGGGGCCCACCUAUCAGGUCGUCCCCUUCCUCCAGCCGCCCGCCCCACGACGGCAACCGCCGCCGAAACCGUCCGCGCCGCCGCCUUCUUCGCUCCUCCCGCGCCCACGCCGCGCCGCUCCCGCGUCCUCCCCACGUCGCCACCCUCUCCCCCGCAUCUCCCGACCCUUGCGCGCGCUCGCAAGGGGCGGGAUUCGAAUUUGAAUCCCCCCCAUUCUCUCUCUCUCCACCCCCACGUCGCCAGCCAAAUCGGCCACCUCCCCGGCCACGUCCGCCCCCUCCCGCACCUAUAAAUCACUCCCCACGUCCCCCUCUCUCGUUUUUCGCACUCGCCGCGCCCUCCCGUGCUUCCUAUCGUCGCCGCGCCGCUCGCCCCUUGCGCCGCCGCCUACCGCCGUCUCCGGCCGCGCGCCACCGCCGCUAGAGCCGCUGCCGCGCCAUGAAGCCGCUGUCGUCGCGCUCGCGGGUGCCGUCCGCUCCUCGGCCGCCGCUUGGUUGCCGCCAAUCACCCCCGAAGCCCCGUUUCCCUCGCUCGCCGGUGAGCUCUCCUUUUUCAUCCAUCUCCGGCCGGCCACAUUGGUCGUUGCGGUCGUCCUCUCCACCCCUAAUCCCUCUCCUCCUUUCCUAUAGGUGUCGCCUCCGCCCGUCCACCCCUCCUCGUCGCCGGGUCACCGCCGCCUUUCAUCCUCCGCUCUGGUCGCCGUGCUCGCCGGUGAGGCUCCCCUCUGCUCCCCUUUUUCCCUCUCUCCCGUGUGCGCCGCCAUCCUUCGCGCGUGCGCCGUCGCCUUCGGCCGCUGCUGCCGCUUUUCGCGCCGCCCGCCGCCGCCUCCCACGCCGCCGGUUGCCGUCGCCAGCGACCGCAUGCCGCCGCCGUUCGCCAUGCUUGCCGGCCGACUUGAAGCCGAGGCCGAGCCCGGUGGCUGCUCCCUGCAUCGUCCGAUCGGCUUGGGCCGAUCCGGACCCUUGGUCCCGUGGACCGGCCGCCUUGAGCCGCUGACAUGCGGGCCCCGCUUGCCGGCGCCGCCCCCUCCUUUGAUGACGUCAGCCCUGGGUAUUAUUGCGCAAUAAAUUGAUUAAGGACUUUUCUUUAUUAGUAAAAACACAGUUUAUCUUCUAAAAUUCAUAAGUAAUUCAUCCGAGCUCUGUUUAAGUCCAUUCAAGUCUCAGUAAAUUCAUAAAAAUGCAAAGAAUCCAUUAAAAAUGGUUUUGUUUCCUGUUUCAGUAGUCUUAUAGCAUGUUUUGCUUGUGUGCUUUGUUUGUCACGUAGAUUUCGGCCGUUUCGUCGAUCCGCGGUUUCUCAAAGACGUUGCUGUGGUCUCAUUAGUUCGAGAGCAAGGCAAGUCAUGCAAUACGUUUGAUCAUAUUGUACCCAAUUUACCAAUAUCCCGCAUUUCUAUUAAAUGUUGCAUUCUUUUACAAUGUAAUGUGGGAUGGGUCCCAUUCCUCAGCCACAUACUGGUUACCUUAUGCCAUUGAUAACUUGGGUAUCAAAAUGACUAGAUGUUGGCUUAGGAAAUGCUUAGCCCUGCUUAGUUCAACUAGUACACAAAUGGGGGAUCACAUUAUUUCAUAGACUCUGACUACUGGCAUAGCUUUAGAUUGGUGCCACCGCAAGGGUGUCAGUUAAUUAAAAUAUUCUGAAUGGCGGGCUGUGAGUGCAUGGUUUUGCUGGUCGCACCCAUAGCAGUUAAGGACCGGUUCACGGGAAACCCUGGGAGACUUACCGUGCUUACCACAAGCGGGAGUGGGUAACUGCUUGAUCUGAAGUAUAGCUCGACCCUUUCCUAGGCACCGGUGGCGAGGGUGGGCGUGAUGGAGUUGGGUCGGCCGAGGUGUUCAGUUGUCCAGCUGCCGGAUUCACCGCGGCGCAAGAGGGGACCGCCCACUGCCUUUUGAGGGGUGGGGGUGAAACCUUAGCGUGGUGUGGAUGGUUAGGGGAGGGUUAUGUGGAGGGUCUUGUCACGAUUUCCCCCUUUGCAGUAUCAUGGUGAUACUUUGGGGCAUGGCGACAUGUGUGGAAUCGUGUCUUGUGGGUACAGUUGUACACCUCUGGCCAGAGUAAAACUAUUCGAAUAGCCGUGCCCGCGGUUAUGGGCGAUCAACCAGAUUCACUGUGAUUAGUCUCACCCCUAGUUUAGCUUAAUGAACUGGUGUAGUUCAGGUGGUUGGUUGGGCCUGUUGCAACGUGGUGUAGCGUUGGACAGUGAUUGGUUAAUAUUGAUUAAUUACUACAGCUGUUUUACUGCUUUCAACUACUGCUUUGAAAUGACUGCUUUAUGCAAAAGAACCCCUAGCUUCCUUUGGUUAUAUCCUGCAUCAUACCUCCUCUUCCGGUAUGACUUGCUGAGUACAGUGGGUAGUUGUCAUAUCCUGAUUUUUUGUUUCAGGAUUUAUAAAUUAUUUAAUAAAUUAUUAUUAGAAUUUAUAUUAAAUGUUCAUCAAUUUACAAGUGAAGUUAAAUGUGGGAAAUAAAAUUUCCUAAAUAUAAAGCAUGGAUGGAUUUAAUUUUUAUUAAAUUCUCCAUGAUAAAGUCAACUCUCUGAAAUUUUCUCGGAUUUUUCAGAGCUCAAUUCAUAAAUGAUACAAAGAACAGUUCAGUAAUUAUUUGAUCAAUAAUGAUCUAAUUAUAAUUGUUAAGAGCUUUUCUUGUUUAAAAAUCCUUAAAUUAUAAAUUGUUGUUUAAAAGGAAUAAUUAGAAAUGAUCUUAAAAGAGAAGAUCUAAUUUUAAUUUGCUAAAUCUCAAUAUAAAAUUGGGUUAGAUAAAAUUUUAUUAAAUACUUUACUUGAUUCUAUAGUUCCUAGAUUUUUCUGGGAUUUAUUUGAGCCAAGGAAGUAUUUUUAAUCAAUGGAAUAUCAUUUCAUGAAUAAUUUAAAUAGAAAAUGUUUUUAAAUCCUCCUUUUGGCUUUGGGCCGAAAGCCGGCCCAAAACCUCUCUCUUUCUCUCUCUCUCCCCGGCCCAAGUCGGCCCAGUCCGCAACCGAGCCGCCGCUCUCCUCUCUCUCUCCCGCUGACAGGUGGGCCCCACCUGUCGGGCCCGUCUUCCUCCUCGCGCCGCUGCCGGCCGAAACCCUAGCCGCCGCCGCUUUCCAAUCCGGUCGAUCCUUUCUGUUUCCGGUGAAAUCGUUUGAGGGGAAAUAAUCUCCUCGAUCUCCUCUUCCUUUUCUCUUAUAGAAACUUCGGUCAAUUUCGUUUGGAAAUCGACGGAUUUGAGCUCGAUUCGGAUCGACUUUUCUCCCUCCAACCCUAGCUUUCCUUCUCGCCGCCGGUCGCUGUGGGCCUCCGUCGCCGCUCGCUAGCCCCUUUAUAAGCACCCCCGAGCUCUCCUCUAUCCGCCGCCACCUUUGCCUUAGCCCGCCGUCCCGUCUAGCGCCGCCUCCGCGUAGCCCUAGCCGUCGCUGUCGUUGCCGUCGGUUCAGCCGCGCCGCGCCGCCGUUGCAGCCACCGUCGUCGGUCGCCGUCGCCACCAUCGGGAUCGCGAGGUCGUCGCCGUCCCCGUCCACCUCUUCGCCGCCGCAGAAGACCGCCGGAGCACCGCCGUCACCGUCGACCCGAAGACCGUCGCCUCUUCUUCCUCGUCACCGGCGCCGUCCGUUGCUCUUCCGCCGUGGUUUUGGUCACCGGUGAGUUCGCUGUGUUGUCCUCUACCCGUUGGUGUCCUCUGUUUGCGUCGUUGCGCCGUCAUUCGCCGGCGAGCGCGCGAGGCCGAGCCGUCGCCGGUGAUGACGUCACCGCUGACGUCAUCGUCGCCUUGUCCCGUGAACCGCGGUAGAUCAAGUUGAUCUCGGCCGCCCGUUUUGGAUAGAAUCGAUCUCGGCCGUUCGUUUCCUUAGACCGUCCCGUGCUCCCGGACCGCCUUUGAUGACGCAAUAAUUCCCUUUUCCUUUUCAAAAAUAAUUCAUUAUUGCGUCAUAAUUCAAUUAAAAUCCAUAUAAGUGUUUUAAUCCGAUUUAAUCUUGUAAAAUUCAUAAUAAAUUCAUAUGAAGUCACAAUGAGGCCGUUCAAGUCUCAUAAUUCAUCUAAAAUUAUGAUCUACAUGUUUGUUUACUUUUUAUGUAUUGUUUAUUUGGUUUUUAUUAGUCUUUUUCUUCAUUUUGCGUGUUAGCUUGUCGUUUCCGUCGUUGCGAAGGUUCGUGAGUGCGCCGGAAGUAUUCAAGAAGAUUAAUUGAAGACCGAUUAUUGCAAGGCAAGUCACACAGAUCCUAAACACAAUCCUUUGAGCAUGUUGAUCCUAUAUUUAAAUUUUCUAUUUAUUUCAACUGUGCAUUUAUUUUCGAAUGUCACUGGGUGGUGUGAAUCUAUUCCUUUGUUAUGGCCUGUUUGCAUUGAUUACUUUAUUCCUUGAUACCUUGGGUUAUUAUAACUUGACUAGUUGAGCUAUAUAUAUUGGUUCAGCUAGAUAUUAGAUAUGAUUGCUUAGCCAUGCUUAGAAACAUUAGCACACUAUUGGGAUUACUUAUGACUCAUUAUUAUUUAAUGAUGGCUUAAUGAUAGUUCACGAUGGUCAAUCGUGAUUGGUUAAUUAAUUACUUGCCAACUAAAACUUGAUAAUGGUGGGUUGUGAGCACAUGGUUUUGAGAGUCGUGCUCAUGACAAUUAAGGACCGGUUCGCGAGCUACUGUUGUGAAACAUUAACCAUGCCAACCACAAGCCAGCGUGGGCAACGGCUUUACCUUUUGUAUAACAUGGUUCAUUGCGGAGCACUAGACUGAGAAGUGGCGGAGAUAAGCCCACGGGGGUCGCUGGGGAGUCCAUGCCUUGUUUUAUAAGGGGGUGAUUAUGAUCCAGGAAAGGUGCGCUAUGGUGGAUUGUGUUGUGCAAGGGGUAUUGUCACAGCUCCUUUUCGAGGUACCGUGGUGGUAUUGAGGGACAUGGUGAUAUGAUGUGGGGCUGUGUCUUGUGGGUACAGUGGUACACCUCUGAUCAGAGUAAAACUAUUCGAAUAGCCGUGCCCGCGGUUAUGGGCGGGUUGAGCAAUGUUUUUCGUGAUUAGUCUCACACCUCUCACAAUAAUUAUAGAUGUUAUACCUGGUAAUAAUUUGCUUAGCUCCUGGUUUGGAGUUAGAUCUGUACAGCCGGGUAUGGUUGUUCAGGAUGGUUGGGCCUGUGCAGCAUGGGUGUGUUGUUCAGUGUUGAUUAAAAUUUCUGAUUAAUUACUCCACUGUUUUAUUUCUCUUAAAUGUUUUGCUAAAUGCUGCUUUUGCAAAUGAGCCUAUAUUAUGCCAUCCUUUGGUAUCCUUGUGCACUUGCAUAUUUGCUGUGUGGCUUGUUGAGUAUGUCAUAUGCUCAUUCUUGCAAUAAUCAAUCAACCUCAGUUGAAGAAAAAAGAUCUAGGAGGAGAAGACGUUUGGCUUAUACCCCAGUUGAGCUGCCUGUGGGAGUGGAGCCGGAGCUUCGCUAGAUUUUAUUUUCCGCUGCAGUUUUCUUCAUGGUGAGGACUAAGUGCAUCUUAAGUAAGUAUUUAUCGUUUUAGUUAAUUUGAUGAAUUUGUAUAUUAAAUUGUCAGUUUGUGUACCUCGGCUGAUUCCUGGACGAGGAUUUUAUGCACAAAUAAGUUCGGAAAUUACUAGUGAAUUUUCGGGCGUGACAGUAGUACUCAGUCUUGCUCUCUUUUCCCUCGCACCAGAGUUGAAGUUCUUCUCAGUUGGAGCCGUCUCAGAGAGGUUGGUUUCGUCGCUGCCGUCAAGGUUUGCCUGUGGAGUGGAGUCGCCCGCUGCUGAAGUCAAGCUUCCCGGUUUAGCUCGCUUUUAUCUUUCCCGCUGUAUUUGUAAUCUUUUAUAUUUUUGUAAGGCGUGGGUCUGUAUGUCAACAAUUGUUGUUUGUGUACCCUGGCUGGUCCUGGACAGGGAUUUAAUGCACAUUCAGCUUAGAAAUUCGGGUUCGAGAAUUUCUGGGUGUGACACCAUGUCACACUGAGAUAUAAAGUGAGUGAGGAGUCAUAACAUUAUCUAUCUUGCCAACCAUCAAGUAUCUGUGAUGGGCAAUAAAGUUACUUUGACGAUGGUAUACAAGGACAUCUGUGGAGGCACAUCACGUAACUUCCAAAUGACAUGACUCACUCUGAUCCCAAUAGAAUAUCCAACAAAAACAAACACUCUAGAGCAACCGAUAAGGAAUUCAAAGAAAACCCAUCCAUCGCAUCUAUAAAUAGACAAGCACAAUGUAAACCCACUUCAUCAUUCUCACAACUCAAACAUUACAGCAAAAGCAUAAGAACUAGAAACCCACCACAAUGAAGAUCAUUUUCUUCUUUGCUCUCCUUGCUAUUGCUGCAUGCAGCGCCUCUACGCAGUUUGAUGCUGUUACUCAUGUUUACAGGCAAUAUCAGCUGCAGCCGCAUCUCAUGCUGCAGCAACAGAUGCUUAGCCCAUGCGGUGAGUUCGUAAGGCAGCAGUGCAGCACAGUGGAAAUCCCCUUCUUCCAAUCACCCGUGUUUCAGCUGAGAAACUGCCAAGUCAUGCAGCAGCAGUGCUGCCAACAGCUCAGGAUGAUCGCGCAACAGUCUCACUGCCAGGCCGUUAGCAGUGUUCAGGUGAUUGUGCAGCAGCUACAGCUACAACAGUUUACUGGCAUCAACUUCGAUCAGACUCAAGCUCUAGCCCAAGCUAUGUUGGCCCUAAACUUGCCGUUAAUAUGCAGUAUCUACCCAAGCUACAACACUGCUCCCUGUAGCAUUCGCACGGUCGGUGGUAUCUGGUACUGAAUUGUAGCAGUAUAGUAGUACAGGAGAGAGUAAUAAAGUCAUACAUCAUCGUGUGUGACAAGUUGAAACAUCGAGGCGAUACAAAUCUGAAUGAAAAUGUCAUGCAAGUUUAAACAUAAUGCCUCUGUAAGGAUAAAUCCUAGUACAUUGUUGAAAUUAAUUAUCAUCACCGUCUACUAUGGUUGCAUUUACAACUUUACGAUGUGUGCCUACAUUCAGUUCUAAGCUACUAUGGCUACUCGACGUGAACGGAGUGUGUUAAGCAGGUCAAUCUUUUCAUUUCGAUCAGAACAAAGUCAAAACGCAUUUGGCAAAUAGUAUAUACCCUAUAACGUAAUCCUACACCAUAUAAAACACGCCCAACCUAUAGCGGUUAUAAAUCCACUAUUCAAAAUGUAAGUAUCGAUGGGACCAUUUGCCAUAUCAUUGUUAAUUCAAUCUUACCUUGUCACCGGAGCAAGACGCUCCGCGUAACAUGAAGUUAAAAUUUUCAUAUUUGAAGGCCUGGUCGCGGAAAUAUCAAUUUAGAAGUUAAAAACAUUAAGCAUUGCUGCCUCAAUAAAAUUCAUAUAUGCGUAAUAGUCCACGUUAAUUCCCAUGCAUAUCGGUUUCAUUUGUUUUCACCCAAAGUCACAAAAUAUAGCUGCUGCUCUAUCCUGAGAGUGAGUAGGUAGGCAUUUUGUUCUUUACUGUUAUCGUUGAUCACCGCCGUGAUACAAUCGGUCAAUGGUUUGAUGCUAGCAAGGGGCUAUUUUCAUUUAUGUUCUGCCUCCUAAAUGUUCUUUCAUUCUUACACCUAGUACCGUGAGAAAAAUCUAGCUAGUUCUAUAGGCAAAUCGUUGUCAAUACGUGCUAGCUGAACUGUUAUGAGAAACAAUGUCUCUUAAGUCACGAUUUCGUUUCCUUUCGUGAUUUUUUCUUUCUAACGUGUUUUUUAACUCCUCGGCAAAAUAAACGCAAGCUAAUCUUUCAAAUUUUUCUCCAAAGUGGUCAUAAAAUCGAUGACGUUAUUAAAGGCUAUCAUAAGAUUUUUGUCACGGAAUGCCUAACCGUUGUAGUAUUAGACAUGUCGUUGUAAAGGCACUUUACUACAUAUCUCAUUUGAACAUAAGCAGUUAUUGAUAACUAAUAUAUUUGUCAUAACUCACUUUACACAUACAAAUAUAUUUCUACAUAUAUCAUUAAAGUUCCACGCGCCCUUGACAUGUAAAGUGCAUUUGUAAAACAAUAGCUUACAAUACAUAACAAACUUAGUUUGAAAAGGACAGCAAUCCAUGUCACACUAAAAUAUAAAGUGAGUGAGGAGUCAUAACAUUAUCUAUCUUGCUAACCAUCAAGUAUCUGUGAUGGGCAAUAAAGUUACUUUGAAGAUGGUCUACAAGGACAUCUGUGGAGGCACAUCAUGUAACAUCCAAACGACAUGACUCACUCUGAUCCUAAUAGAAUAUCCAACCAAAACAAACACUCUAAAGCAACCGAUAAGGAAUUCAAAGAAAACCCAUCCAUCGCAUCUAUAAAUAGACAAGCACAAUGUAAACCCCCUUCAUUCUUCUCACAACUCAAACAUUACAGCAAAAGCAUAAGAACUAGAAACCCACCACAAUGAAGAUCAUUUUCUUCUUUGCUCUCCUUGCUAUUGCUGCAUGCAGUGCCUCUGCGCAGUUUGAUGCUGUUACUCAAGUUUACAGGCAAUAUCAGCUGCAGCCGCAUCUCAUGCUGCAGCAACAGAUGCUUAGCCCAUGCGGUGAGUUCGUAAGGCAGCAGUGCAGCACAGUGGCAACCCCCUUCUUCCAAUCACCCGUGUUUCAACUGAGAAACUGCCAAGUCAUGCAGCAGCAGUGCUGCCAACAGCUCAGGAUGAUCGCACAACAGUCUCACUGCCAGGCCAUUAGCAGUGUUCAGGCUAUUGUGCAGCAGCUACGGCUACAACAGUUUGCUAGCGUCUACUUCGAUCAGAGUCAAGCUCAAGCCCAAGCUAUGUUGGCCCUAAACAUGCCGUCAAUAUGCGGUAUCUACCCAAGCUACAACACUGCUCCCUGUAGCAUUCCCACCGUCGGUGGUAUCUGGUAUUGAAUUGUAGCAGUAUAGUAGUACAGGAGAGAAAAAUAAAGUCAUGCAUCAUCGUGUGUGACAAGUUGAAACAUCGGGGUGAUACAAAUCUGAAUAAAAAUGUCAUGCAAGUUUAAACAUAAUGCCUCUGUAAGGAUAAAUCCUAGUACAUUGUUGAAAUUAAUUAUCGUCACCGUCUACUAUGGUUGCAUUUACAACUUUACGAUGUGUGCCUACAUUCGGUUCUAAGCUACUAUGGCUACUCGACGUGAACGGAGUGUGUUCAGCAGGUCAAUCUUUUCAUUUCGAUCAGAACAAAGUCAAAACGCUUGUGGCAAACAGUAUAUACCCUAUAAUGUAAUCCUACACCAUAUAAAACAUGCCCAACCUAUAGCUGUGUGGAGAUUAUGGAUACCCCAUGCCUACAAGGCAUUUAUAGUCCGACUGGAUAUGGGGUGCCAUGUCUAGAUAGAAUAUCUUUAGAAGGACUCGGGUUAAAUUCUAAACUUGUAUGUCAAGGAUACAUCCGAGUUCCUAGUCGGUUACGAUUGUAUUUUAUCUGUAACUACAUAUUCCGUUAGGGAUAUGGACUGUAUUUUGUAAUACGGACCCCUUCCCCUAUAUAAGGAGAGGUACGGGUGCCUCUAGGGGCACGAUUUUUUCCCAGAUCAUAUGAUCAAUAAUAUACUUGGUGGAUCAAUCCCCGGACAGGAGUAGGGUAUUACUUCUUGAUUAAGAAGGCCUGAACCUGUAUAAAAUUCCUUGUCUUUAAACCCAUCCACUUUUCCAGCCUGAUAGCCACCCCCUUUUAGUAUUGUCGAAAUCUUGUUUCAACAGUUGGCACGCCAGGUAUGGGAAGCGUCAAGUUCUUCGCCGACUAGUGCGAUGGGUUUCGUUUCCGGCAUCGACGACUUUGUCUUCCCUCCCGGGCAGGCGUUCCAAUUCGGCAGCCUCGACUUCAUCACCAACGACUUCGGCAAGAUUUCUCUCCUCGACUCGGAUUCAAACCAGUCGGGAAGAGGCCAGAUCUCCACCUAGUUCGGUAUCCCGAACUCGGCCGAGGUCUACCCCAAGAUCAUCUCCACCGAGUUGGCUUCAAACCACUCGGACGGGAUCCAAUCUACUUCAACACGACCCGAUCAAGACGAUGGGGCCUAUCCGCCAAUCCUGAUGAAACUCCCGAUGAUUUGGCUGCUGUAUUCACCACAAGGGCGUCUUCUCCCCGUAGGCCUAGGUGGGAUCCGGCUUUAGCCCCGGCCCGGCCUAGCUCCAGGGAAGUCGGUGUCAUACUCCAGCCUCUCGGCACGGUUUCGACGAACAACUGGAUGGCUACCUCAGCUCCCCCGGCAUCGACUCGCGACCAUCGGAGAUCGUGGAGUACGACGACUUCGGCUACCGCUACGACUACGCAACCUCGACGACUUCGACGAAGGCUUUGAAGACAACUACACACCCCUCUACUUCGGCAUCUUCAUGGCUGACAAUGAGACGGAAGAAGAGCGUAAAGCCCGAGAAGCAGAAGAACUACGUGUACAACAGGAAGCCGAACGACGCCGACUGGAAGAGGAGCGCCAAGCAUAAGAGCGAGAACGGCUACAAUGUGAGCCACAGGAACGCGAACGGGCUGCAAAAGAGGCUGAGGACUGGCGACAACGUGCCCUGGAUGCCGGGCGACAAGCAUAGGAACUUAUUGGGCAACAAGACGUCGAGGGGACAGCGGUUUUCCGCCCCCCCAACAGAACGCGGUUGCAGCGAUCACCCUCCUCGACAUCCUCCUCAAGGAAGACGCGCUCAAUCAAGCCAAUCACGUCGUCAACAUCUUGAACCAGACCAAGACCAUGAUCGCCGCCUUGGUCCCGAUUAACUCCGCAAGCGUCCACACGCCGACUGGCAGCCGAGUUCCCCAUCUUCGAUCUCAAGACUAUCACCAACCAAGCCUCAGCGUCGUCGGCGCGGGAUCUACUCGCAGGAGUAGGGGUCACGACGAGCGAUCUAUCCACUCGCCACCCAAACGACACAGGGAGCAUCGAGUUGAAUGACCACACUCCCCACAUCGCAGGCGCCCCGUCGAUCUUCGCGAUACUAUCAACCAGCGCCGCGCGGCAAGAGGCUACGCUCCCCACCAUUCUCCAGAUCGCUACGACGACGACGUGGAUGGAGUUGCUGCCUUCACAAGCGACCUGCGUCGAGUGGAUUGGCCAGCCGGCUUCAAGCCGAUUGGAAUCGAGAAGUAUGACGGCACCACUAACCCGGAGUCUUGGCUCACCGUCUACGGUCUCGCAAUUGGCGAAUUAUUUGCCUGUGGCCCUAGCGGAUUCUGCCCGGUCCUGGCUUCACGGGUUACCCUGUGGCACAAUUGGAUCAUGGGCGGAACUUCGCGACCACUUCAUCGCCAACUUCCAGGGUACCUUUGAACGCCCUGGUACACAGUUUGAUCUCUACAACGUCAUUCAGAAGUCUAGAGAAUCCCUUCGAGAUUACAUCCGACGCUUUUCCGAGCAACGCAACAAGAUCUCCGACAUCACCGACGACGUCAUCAUCGCCGCCUUCACCAAGGGCGUUCGCCACACAGACCUAGUCGGCAAGUUCGGGCGCAAGCCUCCCAGGACGGUCAAGCAGAUGUUCGAAAAAGCCAAUGAGUAUGCCAAAGCCGAAGAUGCCAUUACCACGUCCAAGCAGUCGGGCACCACUUGGAAGCCGAAGAAAGAUACACCGACUACAGGGGGGAGUGGAAGUACCAAUCACAAGGAUCGCAAGCGUAAGCCCGAGGAACUUGUGGCAACUACUACACCAUCCUCCCGACAACGUUCGCACGUCAACACCUUUGACAAGAUUAUGAACUCCCAAUGUCCGCAUCAUCCCAAUUCCAAUCACGCGGCCAAAGAUUGCUUCGUCUACAAACAGUUUGCAGAACAAUACGCCAAGAACGCACAUAAAGCCUCCGACGGAGAUCAAAGCACGUCAAAGAAGAAGGAUGGUGAAGAUGAUGCACUGACUGGUUUCCAAGACCAUCGCAAGGAGCUCAACCACAUCUUUGGUUGACCCCUGGCUUAUGAAUCCAAGAGAAAGCAAAAGCUGACCGAACGGAGAUCAACGCUGCUCAACCUGACACGCCCCAAUAUCUUCGGUGGUCAGAGACAACGAUUAAGUUUGACCGCUCGGAUCAUCCAGACCGAGUGGUCCACCCGGGACGGUACCCCCUGGUACUAGACCCGGUGGUUCACAACGUCAAGCUUCGCAGAUCCCUCAUCAAUGGUGGCAGUGCACUCAACCUCCUUUUCGCCAAGACCCUGGACGACAUGCAGAUCCCUCGCACGGAAUUAAAGCCGAGUAAUGCGCCCUUUCACAGAGUCAUCCCGGGGCUAUUUGUUACACCACUCGGCCACACUCUUCCUAUUACUUUCAGCACUCGGGAGAAUUUCCGUACAGAGAACAUCAUGUCAUACUCGGACGCCCGGCGUUAGCCAAGUUCAUGGCUGUCCCGCACUAUACCUACAUGAUGAUGAAGAUGCCUGGUCCUCGAGGAGACAUAUCCCUGCGGAGUGACAUCAAGCAAGCCGUCACAUGCGACAAGGAAAGCUGUGAGAUGGCCCAGACCCGCGAGAUCACGCUCGCCCGAGAAGAAAUCCGACUGGCUACGUCCACAGCAAGCGAAGGAGAAGUGCCCGCAACCAAGAUGCCAAAGAGCGGAGAAGGCGACGCCAAGACCAAGAAGAUUCCCCUAGAUUCCUCUGAUCCUACUAAGACUGCUGUAAUAGGCGCUGAGUUAGAUUGUAAAUAGGAAAGCGCGCUCAUCAUCUUUCUUCAAAAUAAUAAAGAUUUAUUUGCGUGGAAACUAUCUGAUAUGCCUGGUAUUCCUAGAGUGGUGAUUGAGCACUCUUUACUUGUUAAGGAAGACGCUAAACCAAUCAAGCAACGACUCCGCCGUUUUGCACAGGAUAGGAAGGAUGCGAUCAAGGAGGAAUUGACCAAGCUGUUAGCAGCAGGCUUCAUCAAGGAAGUCCUUCAUCCCGACUGGCUGGCCAACCCAGUCCUAGUUCGGAAGAAGACGGGACAAUGGCGCAUGUGUGUUGAUUACACCGACCUCAACAAGUCUUGCCCCAAAGAUCCCUUUGCGUUACCUCGCAUUGACCAGGUAGUUGACUCAACGGCCGGCUGCGAGCUACUCAGUGGAUUGGUACUCAGGAUAUCAUCAGAUCCGACUGCUUAAAGACUUCGUUCAUCACGCCCUUCGGGGCCUACUACUACAUCACCAUGCCGUUUGGAUUAAAGAACGCAGGAGCAACUUAUCAACGCAUGAUCCAAAGAUGUUUUUCAACUCAAAUCGACCGCAACGUUGAAGCUUAUGUGGAUGAUCUAGUCGUCAAGACCAAGCAGAAGGAUGAUUUGAUUACGGAUCUAGAAGAGACCUUUGCAAGCAUCCGCGCUUUCAGGAUGAAACUAAACCCUCAAAAGUGCAUCUUCGGAGUACCGUCAGGGAAGCUGCUUGGAUUUAUGGUGUCCCGUAGAGGCAUACAAGCCAACCCGGAGAAAAUCAAUGCCAUCCUCAACAUGAAACCGCCGAGCUCCUAGAAAGAUGUUCAAAAGCUGACCGGUUGCAUGGCGGCGCUCAACCGGUUUGUUUCACGACUCGGCGAGCCGGGGAUGCCCUUUUUCAAGCUGUUGAAGAAAACAGACAAUUUCUAGUGGGGACCCGAAGCACAAAAAGCCUUUGAAGACUUCAAAAAACUUCUCACUACUCCACCAGUCUUAGCUUCACCACAUCCGCAAGAGCCGCUGUUGUUAUACGUGUCGGCAACUUCCCAGGUUGUAAGCACAGUCCUAGUUGUUGAGCGUGAAGAAGAAGGCCAUGUUCAAAAAGUCCAACGACCAAUCUACUUCGUUAGCAAGGUUUUGGCUGACUCCAAGACAAGAUAUCCUCAGGUUCAAAAGCUGUUAUAUGGUGUUUUAAUGACCGUCAGCAAAUUACCUCACUACUUCCAAGGUCACUCGGUCACGGUGGUCACAUCGUUUCCACUCGGGGAUAUACUUCAUAAUCGUGAAGCAAAUGGGCGGAUAGCAAAGUGGGCCUUAGAAUUGAUGUCCCUGGAUAUAUCCUUCAUGCCGCGAACUUCGAUCAAGUCCCAAGCUUUAGCCGACUUCGUCACUGAGUGGACUGAGUGCCAAGAAGACAUGUGUCAUGCCCAGAAAUUCACGAACCAGAAUUUCGAAGCUGAAUGUGCAUUAAAUCCCUGUCUAGGACCAGCCAGGGUACACAAACGACAAUUUUUGACAUACAGAUCCACGUCUUACAAAAAUGGAGAUGAUUACAAAUGCAGCAGAAAAGAAAAACGAGCUAGACUUGGAAACUUGACUUCUGCAGCGGGGUGACUCCACUCCACAGGUAAUCCUUGACGACAGCGACGAAAUCAACUUCGGUAAGACACUUCCCACUAGGAAGAUCUUCAGCUCUGGUGUGGGGGAAAAGAGAGCAAGACUGAGUACUACCAACUGUAUUCAGCAAGUCAUACCGGAAGAGGAGGUAUGAUGCAGGAUAUAACCGAAGGAGGCUAAAGGCUCUUUGCACAAAGCAGGCAUUUAAAAACAGUAGUUGAAAGCAGUAAAACAGUUGUAGUAAUUAAUCAAUAUUAACCAAACAUUGUCCAACGCUACACCACAUUGCAAUAGGCCCAACCAACCACCUGAACUACACCAGUUCAUUAAGCUAAACUAGGGGUGAGACUAAUCACGGUAAAUCUGGUUGAUCGCCCAUAACCGCGGGCACGGCUAUUCGAAUAGUUUUACUCUGGCAGAGGUGUACAACUGUACCCACAAGACACGAUUCCACACAUGUCGCCAUGCCCCGAAGUAUCACCAUGACACUGCAAAGGGGGAAAUCGUGACAAGACCCUCCUCAUAACCCUUCCCUAACCAUCCACACCAUGCUAAGGUUUCACCCCCACCCCUCAAAAGGUAGUGGGCGGUCCCCUCUUGUGCCGCGGUGAAUCCGGCAGCUAGACAACCGGACACCCCGGCCGACCCAACUCCAUCACGCCCACCCUCGCCACCGGUGCCUAGGAAAGGGUUGAGCUAUACCUCAGAUCAAGCAGUUACCCACUCCCGCUUGUGGUAAGCACGGUAAGUCUCCCAGUGUUUCCCGUGAACCGGUCCUUAAUUGCCAUGGGUGCGACCAGCAAAACCAUGCACGCACAACCCACCAUUCAGUGUAUUUUAAAUAACUAACACCAUUGCGGUGGCACCAACCAGAACUAUGCUCAUAGUCAAAAUUGAACUAUGCUCAUGUAAUAAUGUGAUCCCCUUUUGUGUACUAGUUGAACUAAGCAUGGCUAAGCAUUUCCUAAACCAACAUCUAAUCAUUUUGAUACCCCAGUUAUCAAUGGCAUAUGGUAAACGAUAUAUGGCUGAGUAAUAGGACCCAUCCCACAUGACAUUGUAAAAGAGUGCAACAAUUAAUAGAAAUGCAAGGUAUUUGUAAAUUGGGUACAAUAUGAUCAAAUGUAAAGCAUGACUUGCCUGUCUCUCGCACUGAUGAGACCUCAGCAACGUCUUCGAGAAACCGCGGAUCGACGAAACGGCCGAAAUCUACGCGACAAACAAAGCACACAAGCAAAACAUGCUAUAAGACUACUGAAACAGGAAACAAAAUCAUUUUAAUGGAUUCUUUGCAUUUUUAUGAAUUUACUGAGACUUGAAUGGACUUAAACGAAGCUCGGAUGAAUUACAUAUGAAUUUUAGAAGAUAAACUGUGUUUUUACUAAUAAAGAAAAAGUCCUUAAUCAAUUUAUUGCGCUGUAAAUCCCAGGGCUGACGUCAUCCAAGGGGGGAGGGGCGGCUGCGCCGACAGGAGGGCUCCGCUUGUCAGCGCACAAGGGCAGGGAGAGGGGGCUCGGGCAAGUGGGCUCCACUGGCAGCGGCACAAGGUGGCCGGUCUACCGUGGACCGGGACCACGCAGGUGGUCCACCGCCGGUCCACGGGACUGACACCGGAUCGGCCCGAGACCGAUCGGACGGCGCGGGCGGCGGCUAGGCACGGCUCGGCUCGGCACAAAGCCGACCGACCGGCCAUGGCGAGCGGCGGCGGCGUGCGCGGCUGCCGACGGCGACGACCGGCGAAGGGAGGCGGCGGCGGACGACGCGAAAGGCGGCGGCGGACGGCUGGAGCGGCGACACGGCCAAAGGCGGCGGCACAGCCAAAGGCGGCGGCGCACGCGGGAAGGGGAGAAAAGGGAGGGGGAGGGAGUCGUCACCGGAGGGGCGGCGACCGGAGUGGGAGGGGAUGAGCGGCGGCAGCGCUUCGGAAAACAGCGGACGGGAGCAGCGCGACCUGGGAAAAGGCGGUGAAGGGGUGAGGGAGAAGAGAAGAGCCGCGGCACGGCGAGAAGAAAUGGCCGGAGAUGGAAACAAUGGCGAGCUCACCGGCGGCGCGAAGGAAUCGGAGCUCCGGCGGUGAUUCGCGGCAACGAAGCGGCGGCAGAGGUGCGGGUGGGCUCGGUGAGCGCGACGGCGGCGACUGCACGGCGCGGCGGCGGCUCUAGCAGCAGCGGCGCGCGGCCGGAGAUAGGCAGCGGCAGCGGCUAGGCGCGGCAGCGAUAGGGGCACGGGAGAGGGCGGCAAAUGGGGGAAACGAUAGAGGGAGCUCGGGGGAGUGAUUUAAAGGUGCGGGAGGGGGCGGACGGGGCCGGGAAGGUGGCCGAUUUGGCCGGCGACAUGGGGGAGUGGGGAGGAAGAGAGAGAGGGGGAUUCAAAUUGAACCCUGCCCACUCUCGGGCGCGCGUGGGGGCGGGAGAAGCGGGGGAGGGCCGGCGACGUGAGCGCGAGGUGUGGGCGCGGAGUGGAGGCGCGACGUGGAGCGGAGAAGGCGGGAAACGGCGGCGGCGUGGCGGUUUCGGCGGCAGCGGCGGUUGGAGCUCCGGCUCCAACGGCCGGAGGUAGGAGACGACCGAUAGGUGGGGCCCACCUGUCGGCGUCCCGAGAGAGGAGGGAGGGGCGGCUUGGGCCGGCCCACAAGGAGAAGGGGCUGCGGGAGAGGGAUAGGCCGACGGCCCAAUAAAGAAAAAGGAGGGAAAAGAAAAGAAAAAAGAGAAAAAGGAUUUUCCUGGGACUAAAAAUAUUGCACUUGCUCAAUUUUAAUUGGUUAAAAUUAUUUCCAAGGCUCUGAAAAUUUCCACUAAAAAUCAUGUUAAUGUAUUGGAGCAUGGGGAACUCAAGAAAAAUUCCACCACGCCGAAUUCGAUUAUUAAAUGCAUUUAUUAAUUAGGGAUUUAGCUCUAGGUUAAUUAAGAUAAUUUCUUCGGGCAAUUUAUUUAACCAAUUUUUUUAAAGCAAGAAAAGGGGGGGAAACUUCAGGGUGUGACAAACCUACCCCCCCUUAAACGGAAUCUCGACCCCGAGAUUCGGAAGAAUUGGUGAAGAGGUGCGGAUGGGCGGUCUUUAACUCAUUUUCUCUUUCCUAGGUGGCCUCUUCUUCUGAGUGAUGACUCCACUGAACCUUGCAGAAUCUGAUUACUUUGUUUCUGGUCCUUCUCUCGCUAGUUUCGAGGAUACGAGUCGGCUUCUCCACAUACGUCAAGUCUUUUUGGAUUUCGAUUUGAUCCGGACUUGCCUGUUCCUCAGGAACUCUCAAACAUUUCUUCAACUGAGAGACGUGGAACACAUUGUGGAUGCCAAGCAUGUUGGAGGGAAGCUCAAGCUGGUAAGCAACUUCACCUCUACGUUCCAAGAUCCUGUAUGGUCCCACAAAGCGUGGUGCCAACUUUCCUUUGGUUUGGAAGUGAUGUACUCCCCUGAGCGGAGUGACACGGAGAUACACAUAAUCCUCUGUUUCGAAAAUGAGCUCUCUUCGGCGGUUGUCUACAUAGCUUUUUUGUCGACAUUGUGCGAUUCUCAAUCUUUCCCUGACAGCUCUGACUUUCUCUUCUGCCUCAUUUAAAACUUAUGUACCAAACAACUGGCGUUCCCCUGUCUGAUCCCAGAAGAGCAGAGUACGACACCUCCAUCCAUACAGUGCUUCAAACGGUGCCAUCUGCAGACUAGCUUGGUAACUGUUAUUGUAAGAGAAUUCAGCAUACGGCAAGCUUUUGUCCCAUGCUCCACCAAAGUCAAGCGUACAGGCUCUCAACAUAUCCUCUAGUAUUUGAUUGUCACACCCUAAAAAUUCAAAAUAUAUAAAUUGUUGUUUAAUUAGAAUUUUUAGAAAUGAUUUUAAAAAAAGCCUAGAAGAGAAGAUCUAAUUUUAAUUAAUAAAUUCCAAUAUAAAAUGGGGCCAGAUAAAAUUUCAUUAAAUACUUUGCUUAAUUCUAUAAUUCCUAGAUUUUUCUGGGAUUUAUUUGAGCUAAGGAAGUAUUUUUAAUAAAUGGAAUUGUAUUUCAUGAAUAAUUUAAAUUGAAAAAGGUUUUUAAAAGUCUCUUUUGUCUUUGGGCCGAAAGUCAGCCCAAAAACCCUCUCUCUCUCUCCCCGGCCCAAGUCGGCCCAGUUCGCAGCCGCAGCCGCCCGCGCGAGUUCGCUGCCGCUGACAGGUGGGGCCCGCCUGUCGGAGUCGUCGUCUUCCUCGCGUCGGCCGCCGCCCGAAACCCUAGCGCCGCGCCGCCGUCGUCUCCUUCCAAAUUCGGUCGCGUCUUUCCCGAUCCGGUGAAAUCGAUAGAAGGGAAAUGAUCUUCGGGAUCUCCUCUACCUUUUCUCUUUUGGAAUCAUCCUCUAAAUCGCUUUGGAAAUUCGUGGAUUCGAGGUCGAAUCGGAUCGGUCUCUUUCCUCCGAACCCCGACCUUUCCUUCUCUUCGCCGGCAGCCGUGGGCCUUCGCCGCCGCUCUCCAACCCCUUUAAAAGGAUCCCCGGUGUCGCCGCUACCCGUCGCCACCCUCGCCUUCGUCUCUCGUCGUCCGUAGCGCCCUAGCGCCGUGUAACCUCGAGCCGCCGUCGCCGCCGUCGCUUCAGCCGUGCGCCGCCGCCGUUCCGGUCGUCGUCGUCGCUCGGGAAGAUCGCCAUUGUGGUCGCCAAGUCGCCGCCGUCCUCGUCCGCCCCUUCGCCGUCGCGGUAGACCGCCGGAGCAUCGCCGUCGUCGUCAAGCCGAAGGACUCCGCCGCCUUUUCCUCAACGCCGCCGCCGUCCGUUCAUCCUCCGCCGUUGCUUUGGUCACCGGUGAGUUCGCCGCGAUGCCCGCAUCGUCCUGGUGCCCUCCGUUCGCGUCGUCGUGCCGUCGUUCGCCGGCGAGCAUGCGCGCCCGAGCCGCCCGAGUCGCCGCCGGUGAUGACGUCAUCGCCGACGUCAUCGUGGCCGUCUGCCGUGAGCCGCCGUAGAUCCGCUCGAUCUCGGCCGUCCGUUUUGGAUGGAUCAAUCUCGGCCGUCCGUUCCCGUGAACCGCUGCCGUGCGCCCGGUCCACCGCAAACCCUAGCCGCUGACGCAAUAAUUCCCUUUUUCCUUUUCAAAAAUAAUUCAUUAUUGCGUCAUAAUUCAAUUAAAAUCUAUAUAAGUGUUUUAAUCCGAUUAAAUCUUCAAAAAUUCAUAUGUCGUAUACUCACCUUGCAAUCAUUCAUCAGAGGAAGAGUUCUACAAUGAUGCUGAUGGUGUGGAGGAUUAGGUGUAGCCCUAGUCAAGCUGCCUGUGGAGUGGAGUCGUCUGCGCCGUUUAUCUUAUUUUCCGCUGCUUAGAUCUUUAUUGAUUGAGAGGAACUAUCUACCUCUGUAAUGACAUUUUAUUCGCUUAUUAAUUAGAGUAAUAAUGGUACUCUAUUAUCAAUUUGUUAUUGUGUGCCUCGGCUGAUUCCUGGACGAGGGUUUACACACAUGUAAGCGUUUGGAAUUUUGGAUAGAAAUUCCGGGCGUGACAUUGAUUGACUCGCUCGGUCUAGCCAUCUGUUUGUGGAUGGUAAGCAGUGCUGAAGUUCAGAAGGGUUCCCAAUUCCUCUUGUAAUUUCUGCUAGAACUUUGAAGUGAAUUGGCUCCCUCGAUCAGACACUAUCUUCUUAGGUACCCCAUGUAAACACAUGAUUCUUGUCAGAUAAAGUUCUGCUAACCUCUUCCCUGAGUAGGUAGUAUGCACCGGAAUGCAGUGAGCCACUUUAGUGAGUCGAUCAACAACUACCCAAAUAGAAUCAUGCCCCGAUGACGUCCUGGGCAAACCCGUAAUGAAAUCCAUUCCGAUUUCUUCCCACUUCCAUUCUGGAAUCUGAAGUGGCUGUAGCAAACCUGCUGGCCUUUGGUGUUCUGCCUUUACUCGCUGGCAAACGUCACAGAGUGCGACGAAUUCAGCUAUUUCCCUUCUCAUGUUGACCCACCAGAAUUUUUCUUUGAGGUCUUGGUACAUCUUGGUACUGCCAGGAUGAAUGGAAUACUGAGUUUGAUGAGCUUCUGUCAUUAUCAAGUCCUUUAACUCCUUGUUUUCAGGUACACACAAUCUUUCCCCCAUCCAGAUUGUUCCUUGUUCAUCCUCAACAAAACCUCGGGCUUUUCCAACUCUCAUGUUCUUUUUGAGCUCUGCUAUUUUAGGGUCACUUGCUUGAGCUAUGCGAACCUGCUCCACCAGUGUGGGUUGUGCCUCUAGGGCAGCCACGAAUCCGUGCUCAACUAUACCAAGGUUCAGAUGUUCCAAAUCACAUUGAACCUCACAACAUAGUUGCUCUACCCAUGCAACAUUGCAGUAGCUCUUCCUGCUCAAGGCAUCUGCAACCACAUUAGCCUUGCCGGGAUGAUAAUGUAUUCCCAUAUCAUAAUCGUUGAUUAGCUCUAACCAUCUUCGCUGUCUGAGAUUCAAAUCAGGUUGAGUGAAGAUGUACUUUAGACUUUUGUGAUCUGUAUAUACCUCACAACGGUUACCGAUGAGAUAGUGCCACCAAAUCUUUAAAGCAUGAACAACUGCGGCCAAUUCCAGAUCAUGCGUCGGGUAGUUGCCUUCAUGAGGACGCAACUGCCAUGAAGCAUAAGAAACCACUUUGCCAUCCUGCAUCAACACACAUCCUAGCCCCUGACGAGAUGCAUCACAAUAGACCUGUAAAACUUUCGUCUGAUCAGGCAGGAUUAAGACUGGUGCAGACACCAACCGUCGUUUGAGUUCUUCAAAACUCCUAUUGCAUUCAGCAGACCAGAUAAAUUUUUCUUCCUUCUUCAAUAGCUGUGUCAUUGGCUUAGCAAUUUUAGAGAAGUUCUCAAUGAAACGGCGGUAAUAGCCCGCAAGUCAUAAGAAACUCUGAACCUGAGUGACUGUCCUUGGUGGGGUCCAUUUGGUAACUGACUCCACAUUUGCUGGAUCCACAGCUACUCCUUGAGCAUUCACGAUGUGACCGAGAAACUGAACUUCCUUAAGCCAAAAGUCACACUUGCUGAACUUGGCAUAUAGCUGGUGCUCUUUUAACUUUUCAAGUACUAGUCGGAGAUGCUGCUCAUGCUCUUCCUCGGACUUGGAGUAGAUAAGUAUGUCAUCGAUGAAAACCACGACAAACUUGUCUAGAAAUUCCAUAAACACCUUGUUCAUCAAAUUCAUGAAGAAAGCAGGUGCAUUAGUGAGUCCGAAAGACAUAACUGUGCAUUCGAACAACCCUUACCGAGCGAUGAAUGCUGUCUUUGGAAUAUCCUCUUCGCGGAUCCUCAACUGGUGAUAGCCUGAUCGUAGGUCUAUCUUAGAGAACACAGUAGCUCCUUUCAACUGAUCAAACAGAUCAUCAAUUCUUGGCAACGGAUACUUGUUCUUAAUAGUGACCUCAUUGAGUGCGCGGUAGUCGACGCACAUCCUUUUGGUUUUAUCUUUCUUUUCCACAAAGAUAACUAGAGCACCCCAAGGCGACGUGCUCGGGCGAAUGUAUCCCUUCUGUAACUGUUCAUCAACUUGGUUCUUGACUUCCGCCAACUCGUUGGCUCUCAUUCUGUAAGGCCUCUUGUGGAUCGGUGCAGUUCUAGGUACCAAGUCAAUCCGGAACUCGAUAUCCCUUUUUGGUGGCAUUGUUGUCAGAUCAUCCGGAAAAACCUCUGGAUACUCUCUGACUAUAGGAAUAUCCUCCAACUUCUUAGUGGUUUUCUCCACUGCUACCUCUUGUUCUUCACCAGCAGCCUGGUUUAAACUGAUCCCUGGCUUCUGCGGCACUGGAGACUGGAAGGUUACCACUUCUCCUUUCGCAUUGGUUAACUUGAUGGUGCGGCUAGCACAAUCAAUCACUCCUCUGUACCGUGUCAACCAAUCCAUUCCAAGAAUGACAUCAAGGUCCUUGGACUCAAGAAGAAUGAGGUUGGCUGGAAAAAUCAACCCUUGAAUUUCAACUGUCAUUGAUGGGCAGUAGUGAGUUGUGGUCAUGCCACCUCCAGGAGUAUGAACUCGCAUUGGUAUCUUAAGCUUCACUAAAGAUAACCCAUGCGCACCAGCAAAACGCUUGGAAAUGAAGGAAUGAGUUGCACCAGAAUCAAACAAUAUUACUGCCGGUGUCGAGUUGACGGGGAAUGUGCCCAAUAUAACCUCUGGUGCUGACUGCGCCUCCUCUGCAGAUGCAUGAUUGACACGGGCCUGAACGAACUUGAGUCUGGCACGUCUUGGCUUCGGGCACAUACGUACCAUGUGUCUAGGCUCGUUACAAUUGAAGCAGAGUUCGGGCUUUUCUCCAAACUUUUUGGGCUGUUCUUGCUGAGCUGACUGAACUGACUGAGCUGGAAUCAUUAGUGGACUUGGAGUAGGGUUGAGGCUGUGCUGCUCACUAUUUCUGUGACUGCCACUGUUGUUGAUGCUGUUGAAAUUGUCCGGGUGGUAAGGACGAUGGUGCCGGAUAAUCAUGGUGGAAGGUCCACCCUGAUGUCCCAUCGUGAAGCGAGGCUUCUGACUGUUCCCCUGGGAAGUUCUGAACUAAGAUGCCUUCCUUUUUCGGUUCAUUUUGUUACCCUGCUCCUCCUGACGGAUAGCUUUGUCUACCAACUUCUGAAAGUCCUCAUAAUCUCGGGAGAUCAACUGGUUGGUCAAUUCAUCAUCAAGACCCGACAAAAACUUCUCCUGCCUCUCGGCAUCAGUGCGCACGUCCUCAGGAGCGUAGCGCGCGAGGCGAUUGAACUCAUGCAAAUACUCUAUAACUGUUCUGGUUCCUUGUUGCAAGGAACGGAACUCUCUCUUCUUUGGUGCCACAAUUCCCUCGGGAACCUGUGCUUUAUUGAAACUCUGACAAAACUCUGCCCAGGUAACCUCUGUCCUAGCUGGACGGGUCCCCACGUAGUUGUCCCACCAAACAGAAGCGGGACCUUGCAGCUAGUGUGUAGCAAAAGCAACCUUCUCUUGGUCGUUGCAUUGCAAAAGGUUCAGCUUCUUCUCAAUAGCAUGAAGCCAGUCGUUGGUCUCGAUUGGGUUGGUGGUACUUGAGAAAGUGGGCAGUUUGACAUGGAGAAAUUCUAACAGUUUGGAUUGAGGAGGUGGAAGACCAAACUGCAGGUUCUGCUGCUGCUGUUGUGCUUGCUGCUGCACCUGCUGCAACACCUGAUGGUACUGUUGUUGCAUCUGUUGCAUCAUCAUUGACAUCAUCUGAGUCUGAUUGUCCAACACCUGAGCGAUCGUUGGGUUCUCGGGCGGUGGAGAUGGACUGUUGUCAGAUGCACUGUUGGCACGUGCUCCACUAAUCUGCUCUUCGCUGCCACUGACAUUGCUAGAGUCACGUGAACCAUUCCUUGUCUUCACCAUCUGAAGGGGGAUAGGUAGAAAUAUGAGAAAAGGAAGAAAAACAGGGGGCUCAGAAACUAAUAUUUCUUAUAAAUUUAGGUGCAAUUAUCUUAAUCUUGAUUAAAACACUGAAAAAGAGGCACGCAACUCUUAAUUAAGUCAGCCAUACCACUCACACAUGAUAUCGACCGCCAACUAACCCACAAGCAACAAACCUAAGCACGGAAACUAGCAAGCAAACAAAACUAAGAAGACGAUAAAACUAAGGGCGGCGACUCUGAAGCUCGGAGCGGCGAUUGCAAUCGAGGGAUAGGACUGACAUCUAAAGUAGACAAGGGAUAAGAACCAAUUCAUGCUAAAUUCCAAAUUAAACAAAGCAACAAAUGACUCAAAUAAAUAACCUAGCAUGACUGAUUUUUAUGCAUAGAACGUUUUUCAUGAACCCAGAUAAAGACACUAAUGCAACUGACUAAACAAUAAAUUAAUGCAUAAAUUAGAUGCAUAGAAAAUAAUGCGCAUAAAAUUGCCCCAUCGAACAUAGACACGACCUAAUGCAUAUCACCUGAUAGAUUCCCGACUGACUGUCAAAUAAACUCCAAAUAAAAUUUUACUAAAACCCUAGACUGAGCUAAUUUUAAAGAUCCGAUCCGAAUGAAGGACCAAGAUUUUUCCCACAAACCAAAGAGGCAAAACCCAAAAUUUUCCCGAAACAAAUCCAAGUGAAAAAGGCAUAUGCAUAUGAAAAGGGGUUCAGAGGGCUCUUAGGUUUCCAGUUGGCUUGUCCUACGGUCAGUCUCGGCUCUGAUACCAACUUGUCAUGCCCAGAAAUUCACGAACCAGAAUUUCGAAGCUGAAUGUGCAUUAAAUCCCUGUCCAGGACCAGCCAGGGUACACAAACGACAAUUGUUGACAUACAGAUCCACGUCUUACAAAAAUGGAAAAGAUUACAAAUGCAGCGCAAAAGAAAAACGAGCUAGACUUGGAAACUUGACUUCUGCAGCGGGGCGACUCCACUCCACAGGCAAUCCUUGAUGCCAGCGACGAAACCAACUUCGGUAAGACACCUCCCACUAGGAAGAUCUUCAGCUCUGGUGUGGGGGAAAAGAUAGCAAGACUGAGUACUACCCACUGUACUCAGCAAGUUAUACCGGAAGAGGAGGUAUGAUGCAGGAUAUAACCUAAGGAGGCUAAAGGCUCUUUGCACAAAGUAGGCAUUUAAAAACAGUAGUUGAAAGCAGUAAAACAGUUAUAGUAAUUAAUCAAUAUUAACCAAACACUGUCCAACGCUACACCACGUUGCAACAGGCCCAACCAACCAUCUGAACUACACCAGUUUAUUAAGCUAAACUAGGGGUGAGACUAAUCACGGUGAAUCUGGUUGAUCGCCCAUAACCGCGGGCAUGGCUAUUCGAAUAGUUUUACUCUGGCCAGAAGUGUACAACUGUACCCACAAGACACGAUUCCACACAUGUCGCCAUGCCCCGAAGUAUCACCAUGAUACUGCAAAGGGGGAAAUCGUGACAAGACCCUCCGCAUAACCCUUCCCUAACCAUCCACACCACGCUAAGGUUUUGUCACGCCCGGAAUUUCUAUCCAAAAUUCCAAACGCUUACAUGUGUGUGAACCCUCGUCCAGGAAUCAGCCGAGGCACACAAUAACAAAUUGAUAAUAGAGUACAAUUAUUACUCUAAUUAAUAAGCGAAUAAAAUGUCAUUCCAGAGGUAGAUAGUUCCUCUCAAUCAAUAAAGAUCUAAGCAGCGGAAAGAAGAUAAACGGCGCAGACGGCUCCACUCCACAGGCAGCUUGACCAGGGCUACACCUAAUCCUCCACACCAUCAGCAUCAUUGUAGAACUCUUCCUCUGAUGAAUGAUUGCAAGGUGAGUAUAUGACAUACUCAACAAGUCACGCAGCAAAUAUGCAAGUGCACAGGAUACCAAAGGAUGGCAUAGUAGGGUUUCAUUUGCAUAAACAACAUUUAAUAAACAUUUCAGAAUUUAAUAAAACGGUUAAGUAAUAAUUAAACACUAUUAAUCCAACGCUAUACAACAUACCCUGUUGUAUAGGCCCAACCAUUCUGAACAACCAUACCCGGCUGUACAGAUCUAUCUCCAAACCAGGAAUAUACCAUUCCAAACCAGGAGCUAAACAAAUUAUUACCAUUUAUAGCAUCUGUUAUCAUGAUGAGAGGUGUGAGACUAAUCACGAAAGACAUUGUUAGACCCGCCCAUAACCGCGGGCACGGCUAUUCGAAUAGUUUUACUCUGGCCAGAGGUGUACCACUGUACCCACAAGACAGCCCCACAACAUGUCACCAUGUGCCUCAAUACCACCACGGUACCUCGGAAAGGAGCUGUGACAAUACCCCUCGCACAACACAAUCCACCACAGGGCACCUUUCCUGGAUCAUAAUCACCCCGUUAUAAACAAGGCAUGGACUCCCCAGCGACCCCCGUGGGCUUAUCUCCGCCACUUCUCAGUCUGGUGCUCCGCAAUGAACCAUGCUAUACAAAAGGUAAAGCCGUUGCCCACGCUGGCUUGUGGUUGGCACGGUUAAUGUUUCACAACCGAAACUCGUGAACCGGUCCUUAAUUGUCAUGAGCAUGUCUCUCAAAACCAUGUGCUCACAACCCACCAUUAUCAAGUUUUAGUUGGCAAGUAAUUAAUUAACCAAUCACGAUUGGCCAUCGUGAGCUAUCAUUAAGCCAUCAUUAAAUAAUAGUGAAUCAUAAGUUAUCCCAAUAGUGUGCUAAUGUUUCUAAGCAUGGCUAAGCAAUCAUAUCUAAUAUCUAGCUGAACCAAUAUAUAUAUAGCCCAACUAGUCAAGUUAUAAAAACCCAAGGUAUCAAGGAAUAAAGUAAUCAAGAACAAAAGGAUUAUAACAAACAAUAGGUUAAUUCCACCCAAUGACAUUCGAAAAUAAAUGCAAUAGUUGAAUAGAAACAAUAGCUUUAAACGGGAUCAACAUGCUCAAAGGGUUGUUUGGGAUCUGUGUGACUUGCCUUGCUGGCCCUGGAACUCUUCAAAAUCUUCCCCUGCGAAAACGGACUCUCCGGAAACGUCGGAAUCUAAACAGAAAAGAGCAAAAUCACCAAAACAGCAUAUAAACAAGCAUGAACAGUACAUGUGGAUAUUUUUAACAUGUAGAUCUCAAUUUUAGAAAAAUUUAGAGACUUGAACCAACUAAAUCCGAGCUAAGAUGAAUUAGUUAUGAAUUUUCAAAGAUUAAAUCGAUUUAAAUCACUUAUAUGGAUUUUAAUUGAAUUAUGACGCAAUAAUGAAUUAUUUUUGAAAAGGAAAAAGGGAAUUAUUGCGUCAGCGGCUAGGGUUGCGGUGGACCGGGCGCACGGUGGCGGCUCACGGAAACGAACGGCCGAGAUCUUUCCAUCCAAAACGGACGGCCGAGAUCGACCGGUCCACGGCCGGACCACGAGAGACGACGAUGAUGACGUCAGCGGUGACGUCACCACCGACGGCGGCUCGGGCUUGCAAACUCGCCGGCGAACGACGGCGCGACGACGCGAACGGAGGGCACCAGCACGUAGAGGGCGACGCGGCGAACUCACCGGUGACCAAAACGGCGGCGGAAGAUCAACGGACGGCGACGGCGUCGAGGAAGAAGCGGCGGCACUCUUCGGCUUGACGACGGCGACGGUGCUCCGGCGGUCUUCAGCGACGGCGAAGGGGUGGACGAGGACGGCGACGCGACGGCGACCACGACGGCAGCCUUCCCGAGCGACGGCGACGACUGGAGCGACGGCGACGCACGGCUGGAGCGGCGGCAACGACGGCGGCGCGAGGUCUCACGGUGCUAGGACGCUACCGACGGCGAGAGGCGAAAGCAAGGGUGGCGGCGGGUAGCGACGGGCUUGGGGAUCCUUUUAUAGGGGUUGGAGGGCGGCGGCGAAGGCCCACGGCGACCGGCGACGCGAUGGAAGGUUAGGGUUCGAAGGAGAGAGGCCGAUCCGAAUCGAACUCGAAUCCACGAACUUCCAAAGCGAUUUAAACGAUGAUUCCAAAAGAGAAAAGGUGGAGGAGAUCCCGGAGAUCAUUUCCCCUCUAUUGAUUUCACCGGAGAAGGAAAGGGGCGGCCGAAUUUGGAAGGAGACGACGGCGGUGCGGCGCUAGGGUUUCGGCCGGUGGCGGCUGGAGGUUGACGACGACCCCGACAGGCGGGACCCACCUGUCAGCGGCAGUGAGCGCUCGCGCAGGCGGCUCGGCUACGGACUGGGCCGACUUGGGCUGGGGAGAGAGAGAGAAGGUUUUGGGCCGACUUUCGGCCCAAAGCCAAAAGAGACUUUUAAAAUCCUUUUUCAAUUUAAAUUAUUCAUGAAAUGCAAUUCCAUUUAUUAAAAAUACUUCCUUAGCUCAAAUAAAUCCCAGAAGAAUCUAGGAAUUAUAGAAUUAAGCAAAGUAUUUAAUGAAAUUUUAUCUGGCCCCAUUUUAUAUUGGAAUUUAUUAAUUAAAAUUAGAUCUUCUCUUCUAGGCUUUUAAAAUCAUUUCUAAAAAUUCCAAUUAAACAACAAUUUAUACAUUUUGGAUUUUUAGGGUGUGACAGGUUUCACCCCCACCCCUCAAAAGGCAGCUGGACAACCGGACACCCCGGCCGACCCAACUCCAUCACGCCCACCCUCGCCACCGGUGCCUAGGAAAGGGUUGAGCUAUACCUCAGAUCAAGCAGUUACCCACUCCCGCUUGUGGUAAGCACGGUAAGUCUCCCAGGGUUUCCUAUGAACCGGUCCUUAAUUGCCAUGGGUGCGACCAGCAAAACCAUGCACCCACAACCCACCAUUCGGUGUAUUUUAAAUAACUAACACCAUUGCGGUGGCACCAAUCCAGAACUAUGCUCAUAGUCAAAGUCUAUGUAAUAACUAAGCAUGGCUGAGCAUUUCCUAAACCAACAUCUAAUCAUUUUGAUACCCCAGUUAUCAAUGGCAUAUGGUAAAUGAUAUAUGGCUGAGUAAUAGGACCCAUCCCACAUGACAUUGUAAAAGAGUGCAACAUUUAAUAGAAAUGCAGGGUGUUUGUAAAUUGGGUACAAUAUGAUCAAAUGUAAAGGAUAACUUGCCUUGCUCUCGCACUGAUGAGACCUCAGCAACGUCUUUGAGAAACUGCGGAUCGAUGAAAUGGCCGAAAUCUACGCGACAAACAAAGCACACAAGCAAAACAUGCUAUAAGACUACUGAAACAGGAAACAAAACCAUUUUUAAUGGAUUCUUUGCAUUUUUAUGAAUUUACUGAGACUUGAAUAGACUUAAACGAAGCUCGGAUGAAUUACUUAUGAAUUUUAGAAGAUAAACUGUGUUUUUACUAAUAAAGAAAAUGUCCUUAAUCAAUUUAUUGCGCAAUAAAUCCCAGGGCUGACGUCAUCCAAGGGGGGGGGGGCGGCUGCGCCGACAGGUGGGCCCCGCUUGUCAGCGCACAAGGGGAGGAAGAGGGGGCUCGGGCAAGUGGGCCCCACUGGCAGCGGCACAAGGUGGCUGGUCUACCGUGGACCGGGACCACGCAGGUGGUCCACCGCCGGUCCACGGGACCGACGGUCCGGAUCGACCCGAGGCCGAUCGGACAGCGCGGGCGGCGGCUAGGCACGGCUUGGCUCGGCACAAAGCCGACCGACCGGCCAUGGCGAGCGGCGGCGGUGCGCGCGGCUGCCGAUGGCGACGACUGGCGGAGGGAGGCGGCGGCGGACGGCGCGAAAGGCGGCGGCGGACGGCGCGAAAGGCUGCGGCGGACGGCCGGAGCGGCGACACGGCCAAAGGCGGUGGCACGGCCAAAGGCGGCGGCGCACGCGGGAAGGGGAGAAAAGGGAGGGGGAGGGAGUCCUCACCGGAGGGACGGCGACCGGAGCGGGAGGGAAUGAGCGGUGGCAGCACUUCGGAAAACGGCGGACGGGAGCGGCGCGACCUGGGAAAAGGCAGUGAAGGGGUUAGGGAGAAGAGAGGAGCCGCGGCACGGCGAGGAGAAAUGGCUGGAGAUGGAAACAAUGGCAAGCUCACCGGCGGCGCGAGGGAAUCGGAGCUCCGGUGGUGAUUCGCGGCAACGAAGCGGCGGCAGAGGUGCGGGCGGGCUCGGUGAGCACGACGGCGGCGACUGCGCGGCGCGGCGGCGGCUCUAGCGGCGGCGGCGCGCGGCCGGAGAUAGGUAGCGGCAGCGGCUAGGUGUGGCGGCGAUAGGGGCACGGGAGAGGGUGGCAAAUGUGGGAAACGAGAGAGGGAGCUCGGGGGAGUGAUUUAAAGGUGCGGGAGGGGGCGGACGUGGCCGGGAAGGUGGCCGAUUUGGCCGGCGAUGUGGGGGAGUGGGGAGGAAGAGAGAGAGGGGGAUUCAAAUUGAACCCCGCCCACUCUCGGGCGCACGUGGGGGCGGGAGGAGCGGGGGAGGGGUGGCGACGUGGGCACGAGGUGUGGGCGCGGAGUGGAGGCGCGACGUGGAGCGGAGAAGGCGGGAAACGGCGGCGGCGUGGCGGUUUUGGCGGCAGCGGCGGUUGGAGCUCCGGCUGUAACGGCCGGAGGUAGGAGACGACCGACAGGUGGGGCUCACCUGUCGGCGUCCCGAGAGAGGAGGGGCGGCUUGGGUCGGCCCACAAGGAGGAGGGACCACGGGAGAGGGAUGGGCCGACGGCCCAACAAAGAAAAAGGAGGGAAAAGAAAAGAAAAAGAGAAAAAGGAUUUUCCUAGGAUUAAAAAUAUUGCACUUGCUCAAUUUUAAUUGGUUAAAAUUAUUUCCAAUUCUCUGAAAAUUUCCACUAAAAAUCAUGUUAAUGUAUUGGAGCAUGGGGAACUCAAGAAAAAUUCCACCACGCCGAAUUCGAUUAUUAAAUGCAUUUAUUAAUUAGGGAUUUAGCUCUAGGUUAAUUAAGAUAAUUUCUUCGGGCAAUUUAUUUAACCAAUUUUUUUAAGGCAAGAAAAGGGGGGGAAACUUCACGGUUUGACAACAUGCCCGUGGAGAAGAUGAAGUAUUGGACCAUGCAUUUUGACGGGUUGAAGAGGCUUUCAGGCACCGGAGCGGGGGUUGUUCUAAUUUCCCCGACUGGAGAAAGACUGAGCUACGUAUUGUGGAUACAUUUUUCUGCGUCUCACAACAUGGCAGAAUGCGAGGCGCUUCUUCACGGACUAAGGAUCGCAAUCUCUUUGGGAAUUCGGCGUUUGAUAGUUCGUGGAGAUUCUCAGUUGGUUUUUAAUCAAGUUAUGAAGGAGUGGUCCUGCCUUGAUGAUAACAUGACCGCUUACUGACAGGAGGUACGUAAGUUAGAGGACAAAUUCGAUGGACUUGUGCUCACCCAUGUUCUUCGACACAACAAUGAGGCAGCCGACAGAUUGGCUAAUUUUGGUUCAAAACGAGAAGCAGCUCCUUCCACGUGUUUAUUGAACAUCUCUAUGAGCCAACCGUACCAAGGAAAGAAACAAUCGAGGCCACGGACACUCAAGACGUAAACAUGAUUGAAUCCGACUGGAGAGAGCCCCUCAUAAUAUUUUUAACAAAACAAGAACUCCCUCAAGAUAAAGAUGAAGUCGAGCGGAUCUCCAGGUGCAGCAGACUUUAUGUCAUUCAUGAGACUGAACUGGACAAGAAGAGUCCAUCGGGAGUCCUGCAACGCUGCGUUUCUUUGGAGGAGGGAAGACAAUUGCUAAGAGAUAUACAUUCAGGCAUCUGUGGCAAUCACACUGCCGCACGAACCAUCCUUGGUUCGUAAGGCUUACCGGCAAGGUUUUUUCUGGCCCACAGCCGUGUCCAACACUGACAAAAUUGUGCGAACAUGUGAGGGUUGUCAAUUUUUUGCCCGACAAACUCAUCUACCAGCUCAGGAGUUGCAAACCAUCCAAUUGUCUUGGCCGUUUGCGGUUUGGGGGCUCGACAUGGUCGGCCCAUUUAAAAAGGCAGUCGGUGGUUAUACUCACCUCUUUGUGGCUGUUAACAAAUUUUCCAAGUGGAUUGAAGCCAAACCGGUCAUCACAAUCACGGCAGACAAGGUUAGAGAUUUCUUCAUCAACAUUAUGCACCGGUUUGGGGUACCCAACAGGAUCAUUACGGAUAACGGUACUCAAUUCACGGGUGGGGUAUUUAAAGAUUUCUCUGAGGACUUCGGCAUCAAAAUUUGUUAUGCCUCCGUAGCGCAUCCUAUGAGCAAUGGACAAGUCAAACGCGCCAAUGGCAUGGUACUCCAAGGAAUAAAAGCACGAGUUUUCGACAGACUGCAUCCCUAUGCCGGCAAGUGGGUAGGACAGCUGCCGUCUAUAUUUUGGUCCUUGCGCACCACUCCCAGUUGGGCUACGGGCCAAUCACCGUUUUUCCUAGUAUAUGGAGUGGAAGCAAUGUUGCCCAGUGAGGUGGAAUAUGAAUCUCUACGUUUUCGUAACUUCAGCGAGGAGCGCUACGGAGAAGACCGAGUAGAUGAUCUCAACCGACUGGAAGAAGCCCGCGAAGCAGCCUUAAUUCAGUUGGCUCGGUACUUGCAAGGGAUGCGCCGUUAUCAUAAUCGCAAUGUUCGAUCACGAGCUUUUUUAGUCGGCGACCUGGUUUUGAGAACAAUUCAAACUACAUGGGAUCGGCACAAGUUAUCUCCCUUGUGGGAAGGACCAUUCAUAAUUUCUGAAGUCACUCGGCCAGGUUCUUACCGACACAAGCGUGAAGACGGUACUCCUAUCGACAACUCUUGGAAUAUCGAACAUCUUCGUCAUUUUUAUGCUUAGGCAUUACUUUUGUAUUUCCCUCUUUGACUACUAACAUCAAGUUUUUCCUUGAGUUAUCAGUCGGGGGCUACUAUAAUAAUAAUGGAGUGUGAUUUUUAUCAAUUCAAUUUGCUUACUUGAUUUAUCAUUGCCUUGUUUGGUUUUUUGGCUCAGUCAAUGAAGACUGAAAGUUUUUAAGAACUUUUGCGGGUUCUAGGCUCAAUAAGGUUUGACAAAAACUUUUAAGAAAUCAGGAGCUGAGUUUAAAUCAUCAAGCAUAGCAUAAAUUCAUCAGUAUUGUACAAAUUGUGCCUCCAUCAUCAUUAUCAUCAUCAUCAUCAUUGUUAUAAUACAACAUCAAUCAGUAUCAGUUUUUUCAUCAUCGGAAUUAUUAGAUCCAGUCGGCCGGAGGUCGUUGUCCUGGAAUCUCUCAACUACAUCAACGACUAUCUUAUCGGCGGCUUUCUGCGCAUCAUUGAUAAGGUCAAGGGCGGCUUCUUCGCUUGUCCCGUCUGCAAAGCCAUCAACGGCGUCAAUGUCAAUCUUCGGGUACAAAGACUUGGUCAUUGCCAACGCUAAGCUCGCUCCCAUACUUCCAGCUUCCUUGAUAUUCUUAAAAUAUGUAUCCAGAGCAAUUCUCAGCUUGUCGAAGAUUUCGGAAGCAUCGAAUGUACUCGGACCAUUGUUAUUGAAGAACAUGGCUUGGACGAGUGGUGUAGCGGCGUUGGCGACUUCAUCUCUAGCUCCCUCAAGCCUCUUAAUUUUGUUGACCAAGACAUCGAAUUGAGCCUGAGAUUUGAUCUUGCGAUCUACAUAAAUAGAUUUAUAUCAACGAGUGGGCAUAAAGAAAGGAAUGGUUUUUGAAGUAUUAGUUACCAGUACCUUCAACAUCUUUCAGAGCCAAGUCCCUCUGUCUUGCCAAUUCGGCAUUGUCUUUCUCCAGAGCUUGGAUCCGCUUUUCCAGCUCGGAUAUCUUGGCAGCUUGCACUGUAUUUCUUCUUGUUGGUUGAUAUCACAUGGAUGGUAGCAUAAAUAAGUCAGACAAAUAUUGUAUUUACCUUUUGACGAUCCGCUCAGUUCAAAGUUGGAGUCUUGGAGCUCAGCGAUUCGGUCUCUCAGGUCAUGCUCAGUCUUCCUGGCAAGCUCCUUAUAUCAACAUAAAUAGAUUUAUAUCAACGAGUGGGCAUAAAGAAAGGAAUGGUUUUUGAAGUAUUAGUUACCAGUACCUUCAACAUCUUUCAGAGCCAAGUCCCUCUGUCUUGCCAAUUCGGCCUUGUCUUUCUCCAGAGCUUGGAUCCGCUUUUCCAGCUCGGAUAUCUUGGCAGCUUGCACUGUAUUGCUUCUUGUUGGUUGAUAUCACAUGGAUGGUAGCAUAAAUAAAUCAGACAAAUAUUGUAUUUACCUUUUGACGAUCCGCUCAGUUCAAAGUUGGAGUCUUGGAGCUCGGCGAUUCGGUCUCUUAGGUCAUGCUCAGUCUUCCUAGCAAGCUCCUUAGCUUCGUGUAGCUGGUUUCUAGUGGCCUCAAGGGUUCCAAGAUGGGGAACUAAUUUCUCAAGAGUCGCAGUCUUCGCCUCGUUCCUGAGAUGGAUUCUCUGCAAUGCAAAUUUAUCCGUAUUUGAGCAAAGUGGCUGACAGGAUGAUUGAAGCUGAGUAUAAGAAGACUUACAUUUACGAGGCGAGUAGCUUGGCCGAGUGUCUUUUUCAGCAGACAUACUUCCUUGUCCUCUUUUUGUUUAUUUAUUACGAUCCCCUAGGGCUGCAUGUCGUCAUCCCACCACUUGACUAAUAUGGGUGGGCGAGAAUCUUCAGCCGAUUGUAUCCGGAGGACCUCUUCUUCGUCGCCGACCAUCGGGCCUUAGGCAUUCAUGAAUAAUGGUGAAACAAUUGAAGAAAGUCUGUCGGAUCAAAAUAGAUUUGGAGGAUUUGCUUACCUGUUAUGAUUUCUGGUCGGGGACGAGCAGGUCCUUGCACCCUAACAGGGGAAUUAGUUCCAGAGUUGGCGCCAGCGCUCGCCUUGGGAGGGCUAUCAGGCUGGGUCUCUACCUCCGAGAUGUCAUUAUUUUGCUCUGUACCCGACUGAUUUCCAGUCGAGGGCUCCUGAUUAGCACCAACUCCUGCUUCGGCCGACUGAUUUCCAGUCGGGGGCUUGUCGCUGGUCUCUACGUUGUCAGUUGCUGGUUGAUUAUCACUCGGGCGAUCUUCGGCGGUCGGCUCGGUUUCUUUUGAAGGGCCCGUCUCCAUGUCAGUCGGCUCAGAGUCUUUUCCAGAAGGAUCUAUGUCAGAUGGCUUCCUACAAAUUUGAGUUAUGCUAUCAGUGCUAUUUCGAUAGUUAGUGAGCAGCAAUACAAGGAAGAGGGCUAAAUGAUUUGUACUUGGAGGACUUCCUGAUUUUCGGCAUGGGACGACUGGAUGUUUUCUUCUUUGGGUUAGCUUGCCUUCUUGGUUUUCCAGUCACCCCCUUGCUGCCAACUUUUUCAGAGUCAUCAUUUUUGUCGUCGCUCAGAACCAAUUUCCUCUUGCAGAAGUCUGAUUGGUUGGCUGAUUGAGUGGUGCUGGGUUGAGAAUCAGACCGGAUAUUUGGUCCUCCGCCAGCUUGACCAGUUUGACGACGGGGUGAGCGGCGUUGAGCAGUUGGAGGGUCUAACUUCAUCAAGGCGAAUUCCUGGGCAUGAUGAUUCACGUUUUCAAUCAACUUUGUAGAUGAUAAAAGCAUGCUUUCGAGAAAGGCUGAAAUUUUAAAUACAUACCGCUGGAGGGGGGUUGAAGGCAUUGUAUGGCACCACUGGCAGCAAGUGUGAAUAGCUAACUACGACUGCAUUUGAGAAGAGUUUAUACAUUCUCUCCUUCAUAACCUUAAAUUCAAGAGAUUCAGGAUCUUCACGGUUAGGGUCAUGCUUGCCGUCGAAUUCAAAGGCCGUGCGAGAUCUUUCUUUGAUUGGGGCCAGUCAGCUCUUGAUAAAGUGCCGGGUGAUCUGUUCUCCUUGCAGACCUUGCUCCUUUAGUUUCAGCAUACAGUCCAUCAGGGCAAGCGCCUGAGCGGCUUCCUUUCCCAUUAGAAGUGAGUUCCAAGUGUCCUGAUAAACUGGAGGAAGACAGGAGUACUCGGGGAGUGCAGGCUCGGGGUUUUGUACAUAGAACCAAUUUGCAUGCCAGCCUUUGUUUGAAGUUUUGAAGGGCAUGGACAAAUACUUUUGGCUCAGAGUUCCCCUCAGUUGAAAUCCAGCACCCCCAACUACGCAUGGCUUGCUCUUGUUCGGUUGGGGUUUGAGGAAGAAGAUAUAGCAGAAUAGGGCAAAAUGUGGCCUGACGCCCAUAAAAGCUUCGCAGGCAUGUAUGAAGUUGGCAAUAUGAACUAUGGAAUUCGGGUUUAGGUGAUGCAAACUAAUCCCAUAGAAAUCCAAAAUCCACCGGAAGAAUCUUGAGGUUGGAAGAGAGAACCCACCGUAAAAGAAAUAGGAGAACACCAUGACCUCGUGUGUGUCCGGGGUCGGGAAUGCUUCGUCGUACGCCGAACGCCAUCCAAUGAUCUCCUUCGCUGGAAGAACACCAUGUGCUACCAUUUCCUUCAAGCUUUCCACCGUGACGUCGGAGGGCGCCCAUUGGCUCUCGAAGCUUUCUCUCUCCUCUACCAUGGAUGUGAAUUGGAUGAUGCAAUUUGCUUUCGAAAUGGCUGGGGAUGGAUGGGGGAUUGAUGCGGUGGAUGCGCGGAUGGUUUCUGUGGAGUUUUGGAAGGGGGAUUUGAGCGAAUCGGAGAACCCUAGUUCCGCCGGAGUGGUUUGGCACUGUAGCGAGGAAUGGGGAAAAUGGCGAAAGUCUCGGUGGGGAAGACGAAGCGGCGUUUGGUUUUUUGGUGUUAUUAGGGUAUCGGGAGUACUAAUGGGCCUGGGCCUAAAACAGUACUUCAACCCAAUUCUGUUAUCGGCGUGGCUAAGUUGUGAUCCGUAGGGACUUAGGCAUUUUUGCUUCGGCAAUUUUCGCUCACAAUAGUAUGGCCCAAUGCUGUUAAAAUCCUUUUUGAUGCAGUUAGAUAAUUCCUUGGAAUUACUACGAUGCAAAUAAAAAGGUACCCGACAGAAAGGUGUUAUACUUCUUCUUGUAAGUCUUUUUAGGCUGCAAAGGCUGUUUGGGUUUCGUUGAGAUGAUUGGUUUUUGAACAGUCAUUCUCUCAGCAUGUUAUAUGCUUAUUUUGAUUAUGGCAUGAGUCAUAGCCUAGGCUAUUUCGACUCAUUAAUUGCCGUGCUGCCAUAUUUAUACCACAUUUGAUGGAUCUUUGAGAGUUUUUACUCAGAUUCUUGUCAUAUGUGCUGAUUUAUGGACCUUUAGAGUAUUUUUUACUCGGGCCUCUUUAUAUUUCCAUUUUUGGUAUAUUAAAGCUAAAGUAGUCGGCUGGAUGUUUUAUUAAACGUCGCAUAUGCUUAGUUGUAUAAUAUUUUGGAUGAUUCGGUUGUAAAACCACUCGGAUGGAUGUUAUUUGCACUUUGACUAUGUGUUUAGCCUUUAGCUACUCACCUAGUCGGGGGCUACACCUAAUUAGGUUUAUCUAUUCGAUGCACCUAAUUAUUUAUUUUUAGCCCUUCACAGUCUUUGAUUUUGGUACUCUGGAGAUCAAUGCAGAAGAAAGUGAAGCACUUGGAUUAUCAUUUUGCGCUCCGACAGAAGGCUAUUUCGUCGACUGUAAAGGUCUCAGGGGCUACUGUGGAGAUUAUGGAUACCCCCUACCUACACGGCAUGUAUAGUCCGACUGGGAAUGGGGUGCCACGUGUAGAUAGAAUAUCUUUAGAAGGACUCGGGUUAAAUUCUAAACUUGUAUGUCAAGGAAAUAUCAGAGAUCCUAGUCGGUUACGAUUGUAUUUUAUCUGUAACUACAUAUUCCGUUAGGGAUAUGGACUGUAGUUUGUAAUACGGACCCCUUCCCCUAUAUAAGGAGGGGUCCGGGUGCCUCUAGGGGCACGAUUUUUUUCCCAGAUCACACGAUCAAUAAUAUACUCGGCGGAUCAAUCCUCGGACAGGAGUAGGGUAUUACUUCUUGAUUAAGAAGGCCUGAACCUGUAUAAAAUUCCUUGUCUUUAAACCCAUCCACUUUUGCAGCUUGAUAGCCACCCCCUUUUAGUAUUACCGAAAUCUUGUUUCGACAAGCGGUUAUAAAUCCACUUUUCAAAAUGUAAGUAUCGAUUGAACCAUUUGCCAUAUCAAUGUUAAUUCAAUCUUAUCUUGUCACCGAAACAAGACGCUCCGCGUAACUUGAAGUUAAAAUUUUCAUAUUUGAAGGCCUGGUCGCGGAAAUAUCAAUUUAUAAGUUAAAAACAUUAAGCAUUAUUGCCUCAAUAAAAUUCAUAUAUGCUUAAUAGUCCACGUUAAUUCCCAUGCAUAUCAGUUUCAUUUGUUUUAACCUAAAGUCACAAAAUAUAGCUGUUGCUCUAUCCUGAGAGUGAAUAGGUAGGCAUUUUGUUCUUUACUGGUAUCGUUGAUGACCGCUGUGAUACAAUCGGACCAUGGUUUGAUGCUAGCAAGGGGCUAUUUUCACUUAUGUUCUGCCUCCUAAAUGUCCUUUCGUUCUUACAUCUAGUACCGUGAGAAAAAUCUAGCUAGUUCUAUAGGCAAAUCGUUGCCAAUACGUGCUAGCCGAACUGUUGUGAGAAGCAAUGCCUCCUAAGUCACGAUUUCGUUCCCUUUCGUGAUUUUUUGUUUCUAACGUGUUUUUUUAACUCCUCUGCAAAAUAAACGCAAGCUAAUCUUUCAGAUUUUUCACCAAAGUGGUCAUAAAAUUGAUGACGUUCUUAAAGGCUAUCAUAAGAUUUUUGUCACGGAAUGUCUAAACUGUUGUAGUAUUAGACAUAUUGUCGUAAAGGCACUUUACUACAUAUCUCAUUUGAACGUAUGCAGUUAUUGAUAACUAAUAUAUUUGUCAUAACUCACUUUACACAUACAAAUAUAUGUCUAGAUAUAUCAUUAAAGUUCCACGCGCCCUUGACAUGUAAAGUGCAUUUGUAAAACAAUAGCUUACAAUACAUAACAAAAUUAGUUUGAAAAGGACAGCAAUCCAUGUCACUGUCACGUCCUGAUAAAUUCAUCCCGAAAUAAAAAUCAUUCCCUAAAAGGAAUAAUAGAAUAAAUUAAAAUUCGAAAAGAAAUUGGCAAACACUAAAAUACGUACAAGAAAAAUUCGAAUGUGGCCCGGAGAAUUUUUGUUAAAUUCUCCUUGCUCUAAAAUGAGCCCUCAAAUUUUACUUGAAUUUUCAGAGCACCGGAAAUAUUUAUUAAGCAACAAAAACAAUUAUCAAAGUUUAAUAAAAAGAAAACCUAAAAAUAAUCCUCCUUUUCCUUUGGGCCAAGUCUAGCCCAAAGCCUCCCUCUCUCUCCCCCGGCCCGCGGCCGAAGUCCUUCCCUCCUCCCUUUCUUUUUCCCUCCCCCUCCUGGCCCACUCCCUCCUCCUCCCUCUCCCUCCCGGGCUGCCUCUCCCUCCUCUCCUCCUGGGCCGCCUCCGGGCCCAAGCCGAGAGGCGCCCUCCCGCCCGUGCCGCGCACGUGCGAGCGCUGACCGCGCGCCCGCGUGGGGCCCACGCGCCAGGUCGUUGUCCUCCUCCCGCCCAGCCUCCUCCUCUCUCCUCCGUGAACCCUAGCCAUUUCCUCCCUCAAAUCCGCGCGAUUCAAACCGGGAAUUCCAAAAUUGAUUAGGGGGAAUUAAUCCCCUUUCCCUCGUCUCUCUUUCCCCCUCAAUUCCCCCUUGAAUGGCGCCCCCAAUCGCCGGGAACGGACGCGCCAACUCCGGCCGCUUUCCAUGGUCGCCGGCCGCCAUUUCCGCCGCCGUUCCCCGCUCCUCCCGUGCUCAGCUCGCUUCCCUCCGCUAUAAAACGGAAUCCCCUCGCUCCGUUCUAUCGUUUUAGCCCCCUCCCGCGAUCUCCUGUGGUCCCUAGCCACCUCCCCGCCGUCGUCCCCUCUCUCCCGUGCCACCGGCCGUCUUCAGCCGCCCCUGCCGCCGCGUUAGCACGCCGGCCGGCCGUGCCGUCGCCUCCUCCAGCGUCGCAGCCGCCUCCUCUUCGCCGGCCUGCCCUCUGUUUCCCGCGAAGACCUCCGGAAGUGCAUCCCCGCCGGCAACAGUGGCGUUGCCGCCACUGUUCCGCCUCCAGCCGCCUCUGCCGCGUCCCCUGUGCGCCGGCCGACGUCGCCACCACCUCUCCCGGCACCGGAACGCCAUCCUCUUCCCCGGCCAAGCCACGGCGUCGCCCGUAUUUCGUCGGAUCGCCGUCGCGCGCACCGCCUCUCCCUCGGUCUCGUCGGCACCCACUCCGGCAGCCCCUUUUGCCGUGCCAGUGCGCCGGCCGACGUCGCCGUCUCCACCUCCGGCAUCGCAGCGGCAAGGUCGCCCUCGGCCUCGCCUCCCCUUCGACCGAACCCCUCCGCGGUCCAUCGUCGUCGUCUCCGUUCGUCCUUGUUGACGACUCCUCCGGUCGGUCGUUCGUCCUCGCCGGCUCGUCGUCUCGCUGCGCCGCCACCCUCGUCGUCAUCGUAGCAGCGUGUUCCGCACCGUCCUCGUCUCUGUGCAGCUGCUGCCGGCUGCCCUCAUCGCCUCCUCGCCGGUUCCUGUCGUCGUCCUCUCGUCGUUCCCGGUCGUCGUGGUGUUCGUCCCUCCGUCAAGCCAUUCUCGUCUGUCGUCCGCGUCCGUCAAGUGUGCCUCUGCAGCCCCGUCGUCGUCUUCGUCCUCGCCUCCGCGUCACCAAGCGUUGCGCCGGCCGCGUCUCGCCUUCGUCCAAGGAUCGCCGCCGAAGUCGUCCCCUCGCCUUUCAUCUCCGUCAUUCCUGGCCGUCUCCGCCGCGCCCGUUCGUCGUUGUCGUUCCCUCGCCUCGUCGCGUGGUGGUAAGGAUCUCUCCUUCGCUGCCCCGUCCUCGUCCUUUCGGUGUUGCCCGUGCCCGUUGUGCGGUUGUCGACCCCGGUACCCGUGUACCGGUGUCGGUAGUCGUUCGCUUGUGCGUGUGGUGACCGUGUUAGUGUGCCCGCUCGGUAGCCGCGUGGUUUCCACGUGUGCAGCCCGUGUGGUGUCUAGUGGAGUCCGUUUGUCGGCCACUCGCCUCAGUUGACACACGGGAUCUGCUUCUGUCGACCCGUGGACCGUCUCUGUGUACUCGGUCUACCGUGGUCCUUUAGGUUGACAUGUGGGGUCCGCAUGUCAACGGCACAGCCUUCCUGUCUUUUCCAGGCUAGCGCUUACACAUGUUUUAUAGUUGCAAAACCUAAUUAUAAUAAUCCGCAAAUCUCCAUGUAACAGCAUUAAACUUCGGAUGAUCAUAUCUUGGUCAUACGAGCUCCGAAUCGAUCCGUUCAAGUCUCCUAAUGUUUCUUAUAACCUAAAGAACCCUGUGCUUUCUUUUUAUUAUUGUUAUUGCUUCUUUAUAGGCUUGUAGCUUUGCUUGUGUGCUUCGCGUAGUCUUCGUCGUUCCGGAGGUUCCCGAAGCGUGGUUUGCGGUCGUCGCCGAAGGUUCGGAAGGCCGUUAUCUCUGAGCAAGGCAAGUCACAUCAUCCUUGAACAUAUUGAAUCCCAGUUUAUAAAAUUAUUUUGAUUUAAAUUAUUGCAUUAUCGCUUUAUUUAAAUUCCCGCGUUAUCACUGUUUUAUUUAGCCAUGCCUAUUUACCUUUGUUAUGACCUUAUUAUUAUUGCUAUUGUUAUUAUUAGCUUGUUCACCCUAGGAUAAACAAAACCCCAACUAGUGGGUACUCUAUUCAUGGUUCCACUAGUAUGAAUUUAGGUAGAUGCUUCGCUGAUUAAUUAGGCAACUUUAGGUGGUUUUAUAACUUUAGACUUUGGGAAUUCUCAUAUCAUUUGGACACUAUGGAAUGGUUGGCUUAUGUUGGAAUUGGACACACACCUCCCCCUCUAUUCAAAACCCCCAAAAUGGUUUUAGGCUGGGCUCGAGGUGCGUGGUUGGGUUUUGUUAGUCGUUCCUCGGGUACUAUAAGGAUUAAGCUCAGGCCUCUGUUGCAAAGCACUACCGUACUUCCACAUGUCUAGCGGGUAAGGCUUAGUUUGUGGCUCAGUCUGGUUAUAAACAAAAGUACACGGAUGGAGAUGGACGAAGUCGGGGGUCGAUGGACAUCUCUAGGACAAAUGAAGGCUACACGAGCUGUGGCCCGGUAGUCGAGAUGUCAUGGCACAGGGCUGGUGUCCUGCUGCUAGGGGCUCAAUCCUGCCUGCCUGUCCCAGAGGUUCCGGCCGUAGGUGGGGUUGGGUCGGUACUCUUGUUUAUGGCUAGGAUGGGUUGGGAACUAUGUCACGUCUUCCGUCCGUAUACCGUGGUGGUAUGUGGCACGUGGUUACACGUGAGGAAGAUGUAUCUUGUGGGUAAAGAUGUACACCUCUGAUCAGAGUAUAACCUAUUCGAAUAGCCGCGCCCUCGGUUAUGGGCAAGCCUAGCAAUGUACCCAAGUUAGUGUUUUAAUUCUUAAAAUGUGCUUAACAACUAAAAUGUGGAAUGGUUGGCCUGGGUUGGCUUGGGACGAGCUGGGACCCAGGGUCGGGUUGCCAGUUCGGUCUGAAUCAUCGUAGGCCUUGGGUUAAGGCAGGUUCGUGAGGGUUCACGGCCUUGAUUAAUAACACUGUGUAACUCUAGGAUCGUCUUUAUAAAAUGGCUUUGGGUAACUAAGUGACUUUUAAAUGCUGUUUUCUACAAAACUUAACCCCUAUAUUAUUACCCCUUGUACCCUCUUGCAUUAAUCAUGCAUCUGCCGGUGUGGCUUGCUGAGUACUGUGGUUGUACUCAUUCUUGCUCAAUCUUCCCCCCCCCCCUUCAGUAAGAGAAGCUUUGGAGAAGAAGUCUUAGGUGGAGUCCUGGCUUAUACCCCAGUUGAGCGCCUGUGAAGAUGCAGCCGUAGGCCCGCUAGUCCGCUGCUGGUUAUUUUUUUAUUGUCAGGCCUUAAGUGCCUUUGUAAUAAUGUAAAUAUUAUCGAUAUAAUAAAGAUGUGUCUUUUAUAUCAUGUUUGUGUGGUGUACCCCGGCUUUUUCUGGGACGGGGAUUAAUACACUAGCGUUCGGGAAAAUGUAUUUUUCUCGGUCGCGACAAGCUGGUAUCAGAGCCAUCUCGUCUGUAGGAUAAGCCAAGUGGAUAAUACCUAAGGACAUAUUUUAUAAAUGAAACUAUUUGCGAAAGUUCCUUUUUCCUCCUUUCCCCUGUGCUAUUUGCAAAAUGUUUACUCUUUCUUCCUUCUUCAAAUUUCAACUAGUACUAGAUGGUCAGCUUUGCGGAGAAGAAGAUAUCGUCAAUUGUCUGCCGAAGCUCCGGAAGACUGCAGGAUCCGCUAGCGAAGUGGAGGAAGCAGUGAAGCUAGCUGUGAAGAAGCAGUGAAGAUCUUAGAGAACCCGUCGCAGAACCCAAGCCACCCUCUAGGGCAGACUCGUUUGUCGUGUGUUUCCUUGCUUGUGUGUGUAGCGCGUGGUUUGCAUCGGUGGGUUGUGAUGUAACCAUGCUAGGUUGUUUGCUUAAUCAACUUGCAGAAUAAGUGAAACAAACAACACAUCAACAAGAAGAGUUAGUUCCUUUAAGGUCCUGUCUCUAGUUCUGGUCUAUUCUUUCCUGGCUUGUUUCCUCUCUCACCUCAAUCCCUGUAACAGAUGUUUAACAGAGAAAAAGGAAAGAAUGUCAGCGGGUAUGCCUCAACUAACUCAAGUUUUCAACUCAAUCCACCACUGUCCUCAAGAGAGUUAACAAGGGCACACCCUUGGUCCAUUCCAAGCAUGCUGCUGAGUUCACAGCUACCAUUGGUUGGAAGUCAAGACCAAAAUCAGUAUGUGUUUGAUCGAGCAUUUGCCACCCAGGUCAAUGAGCUUCCAAUGCCAGAAGAGCAUGUCCCCUUUUGUCAUGAUUGUAGAGAACAAGGACACUAUGCCCUGAAUUGUCCAUGGGUAUAUGCCAAACAAGCCUCUUCCUUUGGUUUAGCAGGGCAGACAUCGCUAAACCAGCCUCCUCGCACCAAGUCAAGCUUGCAGCCUAGUGUGCAAAGUAGAGAGCCCAAUGGAGAGAAUCCAUUGAAUCCCGGGAAAUGCUUUCCUCCUAGCCUUUCGUACCACGUGGGGUCACAUACUAAGCAAGCCAAAGGCAAGAAGAGUAAGAAUCAGAAGAGAAAAGCACCGAUGCGAACUGAAGAAGAAGUACGUAAGAUGACUAUUACCAACACCGAAUGGCCUCCAGUAGGGAUAACUAUUCCUAGACGUCAAAGAGGAAAUACCUUUCGAGGUGCACGACAGUUGACCCAGCACCUCCUAAGCCAUGGUGGCAGAGUAUCUGAUAGUGAAGGGUCAGAUCAAGUCUCCUCGGAUGAUGAAGAUGAGUCUCCCCGACAUCUCGGCGAGGAAGAGAUGGAAUCAAAGGCAUGCACCUGUUGUGGAGAAAUUGGACACGUUGCUAGCAUGUGUCUCACACUCUGCCCUCAUUGUGAAGAAGACCAUCCACCAGGGGAGUGUCCCACCCGCAAGAUGACAUGUUUUCUGUGCGAAGGUACAAACCAUGUGCCCAAGGAUUGCCAACUCAGUGUGUUGUUGACCAAGACCGUAGAAAUCCAACGAACAACCCUACGAUUGUCUCAUCAGCUAGUCAGCUCCAACAGCAACAUCGACGAUAUCAUCCAUAGCACCAAUGUUCCUCCUGCUCCACCUAACUCUGCAAUAAAUCAUAGCAAUAAUACCUUCAGCACCAACCAUUCUCUGCACCGACAGCCUCAGCAAAGAAUUGUCGUCGAUGGAAGAAGUUGUGUCUCUCCCCGACCUACUCCAGGCCGAGCAAAGGGCAAUCAACCUCCGGAGGGCGAUACCAAGCAGAAGACCGUCAUCCGCUUCAAACAGCAAUCAGAAGGAAGCUUCUCCUGUGAAUGAUAGCAAUAUGCAGUCCUAUCACAUCAUCACAGAACCAAUCAAGGAUGCAGUCACUAGAACAAUGCCAGCUAUAUCUCUCCAGAAUCAGAAUGAGUAUCCAUGUUUGUGAUUUUCAGUUCGCUACUUAUCACUGUAAUCGGGAGUUUGCAGCAAUCAUGUAAUAAAUAAAUAUAUUCAUGUUUAUAAACAGUGAGUUUGCUAUGUUUAUGGAUGAUUCAUGUUGAGGAUGCAAUGUACCGAUGUUAAGCACCUUCCCUUUUUGUUUAAGGUAGGGCCUUGUAUUCAUGUAAUAAGGGAGAAAUGUGUAACAAAAACAAGUUCUAUGAGGACUCUUUCGGAAGAUGCUGAUAUGGGAUUAUGUGUUUACUGUCAAAGGAGACCUAGGGUCUCAUUUCAGAGGAACCAUGUUCUAACCUCGAGUUAAUAACCAACCUGCUGAUGGAAAAGAAAAUCAAGCGAGUAACCAGAGAGACAUUUGUUUGGACUAAGAGUUUCAGAUUUGUCUUUUUCGGAUCAAAGGCAACGACAGUCAGUACAGCUUUUGAUGAACUACUUCAAGGUUUCACUGAAAGGCAGUAGGCCAAAGGACCUCAUUGCCACCAGAAGUGUCCGCAACCCACAUUAAAGAGUACCACCUGUUAGAGAUAGGCCGAAAGAUGAUUGAUAAAAGAUAUUGGCAAAUAUGUUCUCUAGCAGGAAGGAAGUAGGCCGAAAGAUGAUUGAUAAAGGAUAAACAGAAACAUGCUCUGCAUCACUCAAGGAAGACUCCUGAUAGCAAUCACCCUGCAACAGUCACCUUGUCAUUGAGGUAGAAAAAAAAAUCGUGAGUAAGCAAUACGACCUAGGUAAAAGUGUUUCUUUGAAGGCAAGGAAUGAAAUCUUUAACUCGGUAUCAGAUGCUACACGGAGUGAAAAGUGCAAGCACCGGUUACCAGGCAAUGCCAUGUCUUGGGAGAUGAUCCAAUGGGAAGGAACUCAUCAAGGUCGAAGGUGUAAAGGAAUACGUUGAAUGCUAAAUAAUGACAACAUGAAGAUAAUAGUGGGAUAAGUUGGUUCUGUUGAGAAACAUAAUUCAAAGGCAAAGUUAUUGACCCUUGCAUCAAAUAGCAGAAGUAGCUAGCACCUGGAGACCAGGAAAGCUAAUAUGAGGUAGUUGGUGGCAAGUUAGAAGUAAAUGACAAGUAUGAUAUUCUUAUGAUGGCAAACAUGGUAUCCUAGUAAUGACAAGCUAGUGUUGACGCAUGACAUGAAGUGGUAACUUGUAUGAGGUUGACUCCAAAGAUAUGAGUUAUAAGAAGUUCUGGAACUGAAGCCCCAUCUUCCAAUGCCGCAGCCCAGUCGAAGUCAGCUAGAGGUGCAACCAGGGAAAAGUCAGGUGAAGAGAAGAUUCCAUCUAUAACAGGAGAUCGAGCCAAGCAGUCCAGAGUGGAGAAGUUUUGCUAGGCAAGUUUGUUAUAGAAGACGCGACGGAAGAAGUCAGACAAGAAGAGAAGACCGCGCAACCUAUCUUCUUGCUAGCCACCUCGAAUCUCGGGGACGAGAUUCUUGUAAGGGGGGUGGAUUUGUCAUGUCCUGAUAAAUUCAUCCCGAAAUAAAAAUCAUUCCCUAAAAGGAAUAAUAGAAUAAAUUAAAAUUCGAAAAGAAAUUGGCAAACACUAAAAUACGUACAAGAAAAAUUCGAAUAUGGCCCGGAGAAUUUUUGUUAAAUUCUCCUUGGUCUAAAAUGAGCCCUCAAAUUUUACUUGAAUUUUCAGAGCACCGGAAAUAUUUAUUAAGCAACAAAAAAAAUUAUCAAAGUUUAAUAAAAAGAAAACCUAAAAAUAAUCCUCCUUUCCUUUGGGCCAAGUCUAGCCCAAAGCCUCCCUCUCUCUCCCCCGGCCCGCGGCGGAAGUCCUUCCCUCCUCCCUUUCUUUUUCCCUCCCCCUCCCGGCCCACUCCCUCCUCCUCCCUCUCCCUCCCGGGCUGCCUCUCCCUCCUCUCCUCCUGGGCCGCCUCCGGGCCCAAGCCGAGGGGCGCCCUCCCGCCCGUGCCGCGCACGUGCGCGCGCUGACCGCGCGCCCGCGUGGGGCCCACGUGCCAGGUCGUCUUCCUCCUCCCGCCCGGCCUCCUCCUCUCUCCUCCGUGAACCCUAGCCAUUUCCUCCCUCAAAUCCGCGCGAUUCAAACCGGGAAUUCCAAAAUUGAUUAGGGGGAAUUAAUCCCCUUUCCCUCCUCUCUCUUUCCCCCUUAAUUCCCCCUUGAAUGGCGUCCCCAAUCGCCGGGAAUGGACGCGCCAACUCCGGCCGCUUUCCAUGGCUGCCGGCCGCCAUUUCCGCCGCCGUUCCCCACUCCUCCUGUGCUCGGCUCGCUUCCCUCCGCUAUAAAACGGAAUCCCCUCGCUCCGUUCUAUCGUUUUAGCCCCCUCCAGCGAUCUCCCGUGGUCCCUAGCCACCUCCCCGCCGUCGUCCCCUCUCUCCCGUGCCGCCGGCCGUCUUCAGCCGCCCCUGCCGCCGCGUUAGCACGCCGGCCGGCCGUGCCGUCGCCUCCUCCAGCGUCGCAGCCGCCUCCUCUUCGCCGGCCUGCCCUCUGUUUCCCGCGAAGACCUCCGGAAGUGCAUCCCCGCCGGCAACAGUGGCGUUGCCACCACUGUUCCGCCUCCGGCCGCCUCUGCCGCGUCCCCUGUGCGCCGGCCGACGUCGCCACCACCUCUCCCGGCACCGGAACGCCAUCCUCUUCCCCGGCCAAGCCACGGCGUCGCCCGUAUUUCGUCGGAACGCCGUUGCGCGCGCCGCCUCUCCCUCGGUCUCGUCGGCACCCACUCCGGCAGCCCCUUUCGCCGUGCCAGUGCACCGGCCGACGUCGCCGUCUCCACCUCCGGCAUCGCAGCGGCAAGGUCGCCCUCGGCCUCGCCUCCCCUUCGACCGAACCCCUCCGCGCUCCAUCGUCGUCGUCUCCGUUCAUCCUCGUUGACGACUCCUCCGGUCGGUCGUUAGUCCUCGCCGGCUCGUCGUCUCGCUGCGCCGCCACCCUCGUCGUCAUCGUACCGGCGUGUUCCGCGCCGUCCUCGUCUCUGUGCAGCUGCUGCCGUCUGCCCUCAUCACCUCCUCGCCGGUUCCUGUCGUCGUCCUCUCGUCAUUCCUGGUUGUCGUGGCGUUCGUCCCUCCGUCAAGCCGUUCUCGUCCGUCGUCCGCGUCCGUCAAGUGUGCCGCUGCAGCCCCGUCGUCGUCUUCGUCCUUGCCUCCGCGUCGCCAAGCGUUGCGCCGGCCGCGUCUCGCCUUCGUCCAAGGAUCGCCGCCGAAGUCGUCCCCUCGCCUUUCGUCUCCGUCAUUCCUGGCCGUCUCUGCCGCGCCCGUUCGUCGUUGUCGUUCCCUCGCCUCGUCGCGUGGUGGUAAGGAUCUCUCCUUCGCUGCCCCGUCUUCGUCCUUUCGGUGUCGCCCGUGCCCGUUGUGCGGUUGUCGACCCCGGUACUCGUGUACCGGUGUCGGUAGUCGUUCGCUUGUGCGUGUGGUGACCGUGUUAGUGUGCCCGCUCGGUAGCCGCGUGGUUUCCACGUGUGCAGCCCGUGUGGUGUCUAGUGGAGUCCGUUUGUCGGCCACUCGCCUCGGUUGACACACGGGAUCUGCUUCUGUCGACCAGUGGACCAUCUCUGUGUACUCGGUCUACCGUGGUCCUUUAGGUUAUCAUGUGGGGUCCGCAUGUCAACGGCGCAGCCUUCCUGUCUUUUCCAGGCUAGCGCUUACACAUGUUUUAUAGUUGCAAAACCUAAUUAUAAUAAUCCGCAAAUCUCCAAGUAACAGCAUUAAACUUCGGAUGAUCAUAUCUUGGUCAUACGAGCUCCGAAUCGAUCCGUUCAAGUCUCCUAAUGUUUGUUAUAACCUAAAGAACCCUGUGCUUUCUUUUUAUGUAUUGUUAUUGCUUCUUUAUAGGCUUGUAGCUUUGCUUGUGUGCUUCGCGUAGUCUUCGUCGUUCCGGAGGUUCCCGAAGCGUGGUUUGCGGUCGUCGCCGAAGGUUCGGAAGGCCGUUAUCUCUGAGCAAGGCAAGUCACAUCAUCCUUGAACAUAUUGAAUCCCAGUUUAUAAAAUUAUUUUGAUUUAAAUUAUUGCAUUAUCGCUUUAUUUAAAUUCCCGCGUUAUCACUGUUUUAUUUAGCCAUGCCUAUUUACCUUUGUUAUGACCUUAUUAUUAUUGCUAUUGUUAUUAUUAGCUUGUUCACCCUAGGAUAAACAAAACCCCAACUAGUGGGUACUCUAUUCAUGGUUCCACUAGUAUGAAUUUAGGUAGAUGCUUCGCUGAUUAAUUAGGCAACAUUAGGUGGUUUUAUAACUUUAGACUCUGGGAAUUCUCAUAUCAUUUGGACACUAUGGAAUGGUUGGCUUAUGUUGGAAUUGGACACACACCUCCCCCUCUAUUCAAAACCCCCAAAAUGGUUUUAGGCUGGGCUCGAGGUGCGUGGUUGGGUUUUGUUAGUCGUACCUCGAGUACUAUAAGGAUUAAGCUCGGGCCUCUGUUGCAAAGCACUACCGUACUUCCACAUGUCUAGUGGGUAAGGCUUAGUUUGUGGCUUAGUCUGGUUAUAAACAAAAGUACACGGAUGGAGAUGGACGAAGUCGGGGGUCGAUGGACAUCUCUAGGACUAAUGAAGGCUACACGAGCUGCGGCCCGGUAGUCGAGAUGUCAUGGCACAGGGCUGGUGUCCUGCUGCUAGGUGCUCAAUCCUGCCUGCCUGUCCCGGAGGUUCCGGCCGUAGGUGGGGUUGGGUCGGUACUCUUGUUUAUGGCUAGGAUGGGUUGGGAACUAUGUCACGUCUUCCGUCCGUAUACCGUGGUGGUAUGUGGCACGUGGUUACACGUGAGGAAGAUGUGUCUUGUGGGUAAAGAUGUACACCUCUGAUCAGAGUAUAACCUAUUCGAAUAGCCGCGCCCUCGGUUAUGGGCAAGCCUAGCAAUGUACCCAAGUUAGUGUUUUAAUUCUUAAAAUUUGCUUAACAACUAAAAUGUGGAAUGGUUGGCCUGGGUUGGCUUGGGACGAGAUGGGACCCAGGGUCGGGUUGCCAGUUCAGUCUGAAUCAUCGUAGGCCUUGGGUUAAGGCAGGUUCGUGAGGGUUCACGGCCUUGAUUAAUAACACUGUGUAACUCUAGGAUCGUCUUUAUAUAAUGGCUUUGGGCAACUAAGUGACUUUUAAAUGCUGUUUUCUACAAAACUUAACCCCUAUAUUAUUACCCCUUGUACCCUCUUGCAUUAAUCAUGCAUCUGCCGGUGUGACUUGCUGAGUACUGUGGUUGUACUCAUUCUUGCUCAAUCUUCCCCCCCCCUUCAGUAAGAGAAGCUUUGGAGAAGAAGUCUUAGGUGGAGUCCUGGCUUAUACCCCAGUUGAGCGCCUGUGAAGAUGGAGCCGUAGGCCCACUAGUCCGCUGCUGGUUAUUUUUUAAUUGUCAGGCCUUAAGUGCCUUUGUAAUAAUGUAAAUAUUAUCGAUAUAAUAAAGAUGUGUCUUUUAUAUCAUGUUUGUGUGGUGUACCCCGGCUUUUCCUGGGACGGGGAUUAAUACACUAGCGUUCGGGAAAAUGUAUUUUUCUCGGUCGCGACAGUCACACUGAGAUAUAAAGUGAGUGACGAGUCAUAACAUUAUCUAUCUUGCUAACCAUCAAGUAUCUGUGAUGGGCAAUAAACUUACUUUGACGAUGGUAUGCAGGGACAUCUGUGGAGGCACAUCACGUAACAUCCAAACGACAUGACUCACUCUGAUCCUAAUAGAAUAUCCAACCAAAACAAACACUCUAAAGCAACCGAUAAGGAAUUCAAAGAAAACCCAUCCAUCGCAUCUAUAAAUAGACAAGCACAAUGUAAACCCCCUUCAUCCUUCUCACAACUCAAACAUUACAGCGAAAGCAUAACAACUAGAAUCCCACCACAACGAAGAUCAUUUUCUUCUUUGCUCUCCUUGCUAUUGCUGCAUGCAGCGCCUCUGCGCAGUUUGAUGCUGUUACUCAAGUUUACAGGCAAUAUCAGCUGCAGCCGCGUCUCAUGUGUCACGACCGGAAAUAACCCAACGGGCGUUCCUUACGUGAGUGCAUUAUUCCUUGUCCCAGGAGGCAAGGUACACCAAAAGUUGAUACAGUUCAGAGUUCAACAAGCGGAAGCGUAAAUAGUUAAUUUAUUACAUGGGCAGCGAAGGCCCAGCACACACAAAGACAAACGAGAAACAGCGGAAGACUAGGGCGACGACCACAGGCGCUUGACGGUAGGCACGAGCUAGACACCAAAACCUUCAUCUUCCAGAGACUCCUCUUCUGGGUUUGGGAAAAAAAUUGAGCAAGACUGAGUACAACCACCGUACUCAACAAGACACACCCACAAGUGCAUAAUAAAUGCAAGGGAGUACAAGGGAGUUAUAAUAUAAAGGGUUAGGGUUGCAGUAAACAGCAUUUAAAGAUACUUAGUUGCUCAAAGCUAUUUUGUAAACACGAUUCUAGAACUAUACAAUAUUAUUUAUCAAGGCCGUGAACCCACACGAACCUGCCUUAACCCAAGGCCUACGAUGAUUCAGACCGAACCGGCAACCCGACCCUGGGUCCAAGCUCGUCCCAAGCCAACCCAGGCCAACCAUUCCACAUUUUAGUUGUUAAGCAGGUUUUAAGAAUUAAAACACUAACUUGGGUACAUUGCUCGGCUUGCCCAUAACCGAGGGCGCGGCUAUUCGAAUAGAUUAUACUCUGAUCAAAGGUGUACAUCUUUACCCACAAGACACAUCUUCCUCACGUGCAACCACGUGGCACAUACCACCACGGUAUACAGACGGAAGACGUGACAUAGUUUCCAACCCAUCCUAGCCAUAGACAAGAGUACCGACCCAAUCCCACCUACGGCCGGAACCCCCGGGACAGGUAGGCAGGACUGAGCCCCUAGCAGCAGGACACCGGCCCUGUGCCAUGACAUCUCGACUACCGGGCCGCAGCUCGUGUAGCCUUCAUUUGCCCUGGAGAUGUCCAUCGACCCCCGACUUCGUCCAUCUCCAUCCGUGUACUUUUGUUUAUAACCAGACUGAGCCACAAACUAAGCCUUACCCACUAGACAUGUGGAAGUACGCUAGUACUUUGCAACAGAGGCCCGAAGACCGGUCCUUAUAUGGCCGAGGUGCUACUAUCAAAACCAUGCACCCCGAGCCCAGCCUAAAACCAUUGUUGGGGAUUUUGAAUAGAGGGGGCGGUGUGAAUCCAAUUCCACAAUACUCCAACAAUUCCAAAGUGUCCAGGUGAUAUGAAUAUCCCAAAGUCUAGAGUUGUAAAACCGCCUAAUGUUACCUAAUUAAAUAGCGAAGCAUCUACCUAAAAUCAUACUAGUGGUACCAUGAGUAGAGUGUCCACUAGUUGGGGUUUUGUUUAUUCUAGGGUGAACAAGGAAAUAAUAACAAUAACAAUAAUAAGGUCAUAACAAAGGUAAAUAGGCAUGGCUAGAUAAAACAGUGAUAACGCGGGAAUUUAAAUAAAGCGAUAAUGCAAUAAUUUUAAAGCAACAUAAUUUUAUAAACUGGGAUUCAAUAUGUUCAAGGAUGAUGUGACUUGCCUUGCUCGCUUUCCCAAACGCCGGCUUCAACUUCCGAAGCUGCAGCGUCUACACGACCAACGGAAAAGAAAAGGCUUUUACUCUAAUAAACUCCAUAUAACAAGCAGAAACAAAGCACAAAAAUGGGUUCUUGACUUCUUAAGGAAAAAUUAGAGACUUGAACGGUCCAAUUCCGAGUUCAAAUGGCCAAGUUAUGGCCAUUUGAAGUUUAUAUGCUCUUUAAAUGAAUAUUUGCGAAUUUCUUCAUUUAAAUUUUAAUUUAAAAUGGAUUUAUUGCGUCAGCCGAGGGGAGGGGCGCGCGGACCGGGUCCACGGGGGUGGGGCCCACGCGGCAGCCCCACGGUCCACGGUGGACCGGGCGCACCCGGGCUCACACCGGCCGGCGCCGUGGGUCCCACGCGUCAGCCGCACCCGAGGACGCGGGCGGCUGACAGCCGGGCCCCACGCGGCAGCCGCACGGUGCGCCCGAAGGCGGCCACGCCGGCGCAGCGGCGGGAGGCGGCGCGCCCUCACCCCUAUGGUCGCCGGCGGCGGCCAUAGGCACGGCGGAGCGGCGGCCGAGAGAGGGGAAGGGAAGGGGGAAAAGAAGCGGCGGUCCACGGCUCACCCCGGGUCGACGGCGACGACGGAAACGGCGACCGGAGCGGAGGAAGGCGGCGGCGCGGCUCGGGUGGACGGGGUCGACGGUGCUCCGGCGGUCGGCGAGCGAAACGGAGGGGUGGACGAGGUCGCCGGGGAUGCGGUGGAGCCGAAGGUGGCGACGCCGAGGCGGGAGGUGGUCCGGGGCGACGACGGCGGCGGACCGGAGCUCGGCGGUGACGGCGGAGAGAGAGAACGACGGCGCGAGCUCGAUUCCGACGGGGAGAGAGGGCGGCGAGUGGCGGAAACGGUGGAGGGAGGCACGGGGAAGGUUUAUAUAGGAUUGGGAGGGGGAGGGAGCUGCCGGACGAGGGGGAAACGGGCGCGGAAGAUCCGGUCGCCAUUGAUGGCGCCGGCGAGGUUAGGGGAGAGGUUUCCAAACGAAUCCGAGGGAGAGAGGGAGGGAAAAAUGGGGGGAAAGAGGGAGGGAAUCACGGGGAAUAUUUCCCCCCACUUUAUUGCGCGCGUGGAUGGCGGGAGGCGGCGGGAUUCGCGGCGGCGGCGGCGCUAGGGCACGGGCGAGGCGGCGGGAGCGGCGGGAGGAAGGGGAUGACGGGUGGGCCCCACCCGUCAGCGAGGGUGGCGGGCGGGCCCGCCCGUCAGCGGCACGCGCGCGGGGAGGAGGCCGAAUGGGCCGCGGAGGAGAGGAGAGAGAGGGAGAGAGAUGGGCCGAGCCGGCCCAAGAGGGGGAGGAGGGGGAAAAGGACUUUUUUUAGGGUUUUUCUUUUUAUAAAACCUUUUUAACUUUGUUUAUUUCUUCUUAAUUAUUAUUUGUGCUCUGAAAAUUCCACUAAAAUUUAUUUACGCAUUUUAGGCUUUUAGGAAAUAUACAAAAAUCCUCCAAGCCUUAUUUGACUUUUAACUUUGCACAUUUUAAUUGUUGGAGGCUUUCACACGGAUUUUAAUUAUUCUAGGCAUAAUUUCGGGGAUGUAUUUUAGAGUCGUUUUGGGACGCGACAUCAUGCUGCAGCAACAGAUGCUUAGCCCAAGCGGUGAGUUCGUAAGGCAGCAGUGCAGCACAGUGGCAACCCCCUUCUUCCAAUCACCCGUGUUUCAACUGAGAAACUGCCAAGUCAUGCAGCAGCAGUGCUGCCAACAGCUCAGGAUGAUCGCGCAACAGUCUCACUGCCAGGCCAUUAGCAGUGUUCAGGCGAUUGUGCAGCAGCUACAGCUACAACAGUUUGCUGGCGUCUACUUCGAUCAGACUCAAGCUCAAGCCCAAGCUAUGUUGGCCCUAAACUUGCCGUCAAUAUGCGGUAUCUACCCAAGCUACAACACUGCUCCCUAUAGCAUUCCCACCGUCGGUAGUAUCUGGUACUGAAUUGUAGCAGUAUAGUAGUACAGGAGAGAAAAAUAAAGUCAUGCAUCAUCGUGUGUGACAAGUUGAAACAUCGGGGCGAUACAAAUCUUAAUAAAAAUGUCAUGCAAAUUUAAACAUAAUGCCUCUGUAAGGAUAAAUCCUAGUACAUUGUUGAAAUUAAUUAUCAUCACCGCCUACUAUGGUUGCAUUUACAACUUUACGAUGUGUUCCUACAUUUGGUUCUAAGCUACUAUGGCUACUCGACGUGAACGGAGUGUGUUAAGCAGGUCAAUCUUUUCAUUUCGAUCAGAACAAAGUCAAAACGCAUGUGGCAAAUAGUAUAUACCCUACAACGUAAUCCUACACCAUAGGCAAAUCAUUGCCAAUACGUGCUAGCCGAACUGUUGUGAGAAGCAAUGCCUCCUAAGUCACGAUUCCGUUCCCUUUCGUGAUUUUUUCUUUCUAACGUGUUUUUUAACUCCUCGGCAAAAUAAACGCAAGCUAAUCUUUCAGAUUUUUCUCCAAAGUGGUCAUAAAAUCAAUGACGGCAAAAUAAACAUUGUUGAAAUUAAUUAUCAUCACCAUCUACUAUGGUUGCAUUUACAACUUUACGAUGUGUGCCUGCAUUCGGUUCUAAGCUACUAUGGCUACUUGUCGCGCCCGGAAAAAUACCUUUUCCAGAACGCUAGUGUGUUAAUCCCCGUCCCAGGAAAAGCCGGGGUACACCACACAAACAUGAUAUAAAAGACACAUCUUUAUAUAUCGAUAAUAUUUACAUUAUCACAAAGGCGCUUCAGGCCUGACAAUCAAAAAUAAACAGCAGCGGACUAGCGGGCCUACGGUUCCAUCUUCACAGGCGCUCAACUGGGGUAUAAGCCAGGACUCCACCAAGGACAUCUUCUCCAAAGCUUAUCUUACUGAAGGAGGGAAAGAUAGAGUAAGAAUGAGUACAACCACAGUACUCAGCAAGCCACACUGGGAGAUGCAUGAUUAAUGCAAGGGGGUACAAGGGGAUAAUAAUAAUAUGGUUGGAUUUUGCACUAAAGAGCAUUUAAAAGACACUUAGUCGCUCAAAGCUAUUUUGUAAACACGAUCCUAGAGCUACACAAUAUUAUUAAUCAAGACUGUGAACCCUCACGAACCUGCCUUAACCCAAAGCCUACGAUGAUUCGGACCGAACUGGCAACCCGACCUCGGUCCCAGCUCGUCCCAAGCCAACCCAGGCCAACCAUUCCAUAUUUUAGUUGUUAAGAAAAUUUUAAGAAUGAAACCACUAACUUGGGUACAUUGCCAGGCUUGCCCAUAUCCGAGGGCACGGCUGUUCGAAUAGAUUAUACUCUGAUCAGAGGUGUACAUCUUUACCCACAAGACACGCCUUUACUCUGCAUUCCAUUGCAAUUGGAACCCAUAAAAAAAACGUGACAUAACCCUUUACCCAUCCUAGCCGUGAACAAAAGCACCGACCCAACCCUGCCUACGGCCGAUAUCCCGGGACAGGCAGGCCAGGAUUGAGCCCCUAGCAACAGGAUCUAGACCGGGUGCGCCACACGCAUAGGGGUGAGACCACCCGUGUACUAGUCCAGUGCCAUGGCAUUUCGACUAACAGACACCAGCCCAUGUAGCCUUCAUUUGCCUAAACAUCUCGAUUACCGAUCCGCAGCUCGCGUAGCCUUCAUUUGCCUCAGAGAUAUCCAUCGUCGCAACGACUUCAUCCAUCUCUAUCCGUGUCCUUUUGUUCAGGACUAGACUGAGCACCGAGUUAAGCCUUACCCAUUAGACAUGUGGUUAGUACAGUAGUGCUUUGCAACAGAGGCCCGACCUUAAUCCUUAUAUUGGCCGGGGUGCUACUUCCCACAACUGGCAUGCACCCAAACCCCACCGGAAAACAGGUUUUAGGGGUUUUGAAAGAGGAAGAGAGGGGUAUGUCAUAUUCCACCAUAAGCCAACCGUUCCAUAGUAUCCAAGUGAUAUAAGAAUUCCCAAAGUCUAAAGUUAUAAUACCACCUAUUGUUGCCUAAUUAAUCAGCGAAGCAUCUACCUAAAUUCAUACUAGUGGAACCAUAAAUAUAGUACCCACUAGUUGAGGUUUUAUUUGCCUAGGGUAAGCAAGGUGAUAAUAACAAUUGCAAUAAUAAGGCUAUAACAAGGAUUAAUAGGUAAUGCUAAAUAAAACAGUGGUAACGCGGGAAUUUAAAUAAAGCAGUAAUGCAAUAAUUCAAAUCAAAAUAAUUUUAUAAAUUGGGAUUCAAUAUGCUGAAGGAUGAUGCGACUUGCCUUGCUCAGAGAGAACGGCCUUCCGAACCUUCGGCGACGACCGCGAACCACGCUUCGGGAACCUCCGGAACGACAGGAGCUACGCGAAGCACACAAGCAGAGCUAAACCCUAUAAAGAAGCAACAACAAUACAUAAAAAGAAAGCACAGGGUUCUUUAGGUUAUAACAAACAUUAGGAGAUUUGAAUGGUUCCAUUCAAAGUUCGUAUGACCAAGAUAUGAUCAUCCGAAGUUUAAUGUUGUUGCAUGGAGAUUUACGGAUUAUUGUAAUUAGGUUUUGCAACUAAAAUAUGUGUAAGCUCUAGCCUGGAAAAGACAGGAAGGCUGCGCUGUUGACAUCCGGACCCCACAUGUCAACCUAAGAGACCACAGUGGACCGGGUACACAAAGACGGUCCACGGGUCGACGGAAGCGGACCCCAUGUGUCAACCGAGGCGAGUGGCCAUCAAACGGACUCCACCAGACACCACGCGGGCUGCACACGUGGAAACCAUGCGGCUACCGAGCGGGCACACAAACACGGUCACCACACGCACCACGAACGACUACCGACACUGGUACACGGGUACCGGGGUUGACAACCGCACAACGGGCACGGGGCGACACCGAAAGGACGAGGACGAGGCAGCGAGAGGAGGCACCCUUACCACCACGCGAUGAGGCGUGGGAACAACGAUGGCGAAUGGGCACGGCGGAGACGGCUCGGGGACGAUGGAGGCGAAAGGGGAGGGAACGACUUCAGCGGCAAUCCUUGGACGAAGGCGAGACGCGGCCGGCGCAACGCUUGACGACGCGGAGCCGAGGACGAAGACGACGACGGGGCUGCAGCAACCUUGACGAAACGCGGGCGGUGAACACGAUCGGCUCGACGGAGGGACGAACGCCACGACGACCGGGAACGACGAGAGGACGACGAUGGGAACCGGCGAGGAGGCGACGACGAAUGCCGGCGGGUUCGGCCGAAGGGGAGGCGAUGCCGAGGACGACGUGGAACACGCCACUGCGAUACCGGAGGAGGAGACGGCGACGUCGGCCGGCGCACGGGCGACGAAUAGCAGUCGGCCAGAGACGGGGAGGUACUGGACGCCGAUGAGGAGGCCACUCCGGCGAGCUUCGGGCGAGGAGGAGGUGAUGCCGGAGAUGAGGACGGCGUCGCAGAGGCGAGGGAGGUGGUGGCGACGUCGGCCGGUGCAAAGGCGAGGCGGCACAGGCGGUUGGAGGCGGAGCAGUGGCGGCAACACCACCGUUGCCGGCGGGGACGCACCUCUAGGGGUUUCCGCGUGAAACGGAGGCGACGCCGGUGGAGGGGAGGCAGCUGCGACGCCGAGGGAGGAGACGGCGCGGCCGACCAGCACGCGGGCGAGGCGGUAGGGGCGGCUGGAGAUGGCCGGCGGCACGGGAGAGUGAGGAGGACGGCGGGGAGAGGUGGUGAAGCCACGGGAGAGCGCGGGAGGGGGUAAAAAUUAGAGAACGGAUCUAGGGGGUUCCAUUUUAUAGGAUAGGGGAGGGAGCCGGGCACGAGAGAGGUGGGAACGGCGGCGGAAUUUGUGGCCGGCGGCCGGGGAAGACGCGUCCGUUCCCGACGAUUGAGGGCGCCAUUCAAGGGGGAAAAUGGGGGAAACCAAAGAGGAUUGAUUAGGGAAUAAAAGCCCCCAAUCAAUUUGGAGUUAAAGCCCUUGAUUCGAGCGGAUUUGGAGGAGGAUGAGGGAUAGAUUUGAACGGGAGAGAUGAGAGGAGACCGACGGCUGGAGGUGGGAGACGGGUCCGACAGGUGGGACCCACCUGCAAGGCGCGGUCAACGCACGUGGGCGCGCGCGUGACAGGCGCGUGCGGCGCGGCCUGGGGAGGCUCGGCUGGGCUGGGACACGGCCCAGGUAGGAGGGGGCAGGGCGGCCUGCGCCGGGCAGACCGGGAGGGGAGGGAGGAUUGGAAGGAGUGGGUCGGGAGGAGGAGGAGAGGCCCGGGAGAGGAGGGAAAGAGAGGGAGGAGAGGGAGACUUUGGGCUAGGCUCGGCCCAAAGGAGGAAGGAGGGAUUAUUUUUAGUUUUUCUUUUUAGUAAACUUUGAUAAUGGCUGUUGUUGUUUAAUAAUUAUUUCCAGUAUUCUGAAAAUUCAAGUAAAAUUUGAGGGCUCCUUUUAGACCAAGGAGAAUUUAACGAAAAUUCUUCGGGCUACAUUCGAAAUUUUCUUGUACGCAUUUUAAUGUUUGCCAAUUUUUUUUCAAAUUUUAAUUAAUUCUAUUAUUCCUUUUAGAGAAUGAUUUUUAUUUCGGGAUGAAUUUAUCAGGACGUGACACUACUCAACGUGAACGGAGUGUGUUAAGAAGGUCAAUCUUUUCAUUUCGAUUAGAACAAAGUCAAAACGCAUGUGGCAAAUAGUAUAUACCCUACAACGUAAUCCUACACCAUAUAAAACAUGCCCAACCUAUAGCGGUUAUAAAUCCACUAUUCAAAAUGUAAGUAUCGAUGGGACAAUUUGUCAUAUCAUUGUUAAUUCAAUCUUACCUUGUCACCGAAACAAUACGCUCUGCGUAACAUGAAGUUAAAAUUUUCAUAUUUGAAGGCCUGGUCACGGAAAUAUCAAUUUAUAAGUUAAAAACAUUAAGCAUUACUGCCUCAAUGAAAUUCAUAUAUGCUUAAUAGUCCACGUUAAAUCCCAUGCAUAUCGGUUUCAUUUGUUUUCACCUAAAGUCACAAAAUAUAGUUGUUGUUCUUAAAGGUCAUAAUAUCUACCCAAGCUACAACACUGCUCCCUAUAGCAUUCCCACCGUCGGUGGUAUCUGGUACUGAAUUGUAGCAGUAUAGUAGUAUAGGAGAGAAAAAUAAAGUCAUGCAUCAUCGUGUGUGACAAGUUGAAACAUCGGGGUGAUACAAAUCUGAAUAAAAAUGUCAUGCAAGUUUAAACAUAAUGCCUCUGUAAGGAUAAAUCCUAGUACAUUGUUGAAAUUAAUUAUCAUCACCGUCUACUAUGGUUGCAUUUACAACUUUACGAUGUGUGCCUACAUUCGGUUCUAAGCUACUAUGGCUACUCGACGUGAACGGAGUGUGUUAAGCAGGUCAAUCUUUUCAUUUCGAUCAGAACAAAGUCAAAACGCAUGUGGCAAAUAGUAUAUACCCUACAAUGUAAUCCUACACCAUAUAAAACAUGCCCAACCUAUAGCGGUUAUAAAUCCACUAUUCAAAAUGUAAGUAUCGAUGGGACCAUUUGCCAUAUCAUUGUUAAUUCAAUCUUACCUUGUCACCGAAACAAGACGCUCCGCGUAACAUGAAGUUAGAAUUUUCAAAUUUGGAGGCUGGGUCGCGGAAAUAUCAAUUUAUAAUUUAAAAACAUUAAGCAUUACUGCCUCAAUAAAAUUCAUAUAUGCUUAAUAGUCCACGUUAAAUCCCAUGCAUAUCGGUUUCAUUUGUUUUAACCUAAAGUCAGAAAAUAUAGCUGCUGGUCUAUCCUGAGAGUGAAUAGGUAGGCAUUUCGUUCUUUACUGGUAUCGUUGAUGACCGCCGUGAUACAAUCGGACCAUGGUUUGAUGCUAGCAAGGGGCUAUUUUCAUUUAUGUUCUGCCUCCUAAAUGUCCUUUCAUUCUUACAUCUAGUACCAUGACAAAAAUCUAGCUAGUUCUAUAGGCAAAUCGUUGCCAAUACGUGCUAGCCGAACUGUUGUGAGAAGCAAUGCCUCCUAAGUCACGAUUUCAUUCCCUUCGUGAUUUUUUCUUUCUAACGUGUUUUUUUAACUCCUCGACAAAAUAAAUGCAAGCUAAUCUUUCAGAUUUUUCUCCAAAGUGGUCAUAAAAUCGAUGACGUUCUUAAAGGCUAUGAUAAGAUUUUUGUCACGGAAUGUCUAAACCGUUGUAGUAUUAGACAUGUCGUCGUAAAGGCACUUUACUACAUAUCUCAUUUGAACGCAAGCAGUUAUUGAUAACUAAUAUAUUUGUCAUAACUCACUUUACACAUACAAAUAUAUGUCUAGAUAUAUCAUUAAAGUUCCACGCGCCCUUGACAUGUAAAGUGCAUUUGUAAAACAAUAGCUUACAAUACAAAACAAACUUAGUUUGAAAAGGACAGCAAUCCAUGUCACACUGAGAUAUAAAGUGAGUGACGAGUCAUAACAUUAUCUAUCUUGCUAACCAUCAAGUAUAUGUGAUGGGCAAUAAAGUUACUUUGACGAUGGUAUGCAGGGACAUCUGUGGAGGCACAUCACGUAACAUCCAAACGACAUGACUCACUCUGAUCCUAAUAGAAUAUCCAACCAAAACAAACACUCUAAAGCAACCGAUAAGGAAUUCAAAGAAAACCCAUCCAUCGCAUCUAUAAAUAGACAAGCACAAUGUAAACCCCCUUCAUCCUUCUCACAACUCAAAUAUUACAACGAAAGCAUAACAACUAGAAUCCCACCACAAUGAAGAUCAUUUUCUUCUUUGCUCUCCUUGCUAUUGCUGCAUGCAGCGCCUCUGCGCAGUUUGAUGCUGUUACUCAAGUUUAUAGGCAAUAUCAGCUGCAGCCGCAUCUCAUGGUGCAGCAACAGAUGCUUAGCCCAUGCGGUGAGUUCAUAAGGCAGUAGUGCAGCACAGUGGCAACCCCCUUCUUCCAAUCACCCGUGUUUCAACUGAGAAACUGCCAAGUCAUGCAGUAGCAGUGCUGCCAACAGCUCAGGAUGAUCGCGCAACAGUCUCACUGCCAGGCCAUUAGCAGUGUUCUGGCGAUUGUGCAGCAGC